UUUUUUUUUUUGCAGGUUGUAAUCUUUAGAGAUGGUACCUAUUUGACUCUUAAGGAGGUUUUUGAGAGUUUGGACUUGACUGGGUAACUGAAUUUCUAUAUAUGAUUUUGCUUGUAUGCAUCUUUUGAUUACUAGCUUUUAAGUAACCCAUUGACAUCUCUGCCAGGUAUGACCUCAAUGUUGAUCUCUUAGAUGUCCAUGCUGAUAAGAGCACAUUUCAUCGUUUUGACAAGUUCAAUCUAAAAUACAAUCCGUGUGGCCAAUCUCGCCUGAGGGAGAUCUUCUUAAAACAGGAUAAUCUUAUUCAAGGUGCAAAUAUUUUGUCUUGAUGAGUACAUCUCAGCUAUGGUGAAGCUAUUAUUUAUGUGCUGGAUUCAGCUCAUGGUGAGUGUGAUUUGCACAUGGACAGGUCGCUUCCUUGCUGAGCUCACAAAAGAAGUGUUUUCUGACCUUGAAGCAAGUAAAUAUCAGGUGUGUUAUCUUUUCAUAACUUGUUUUGUAAGUAAUGGAACUGGUUCUUAUUUUAGUAAUCUUUCUAGGAUGCUAUGCUAUGGAUUUUAGCAAUUCGUUCUUCUAAAAUGGGCCCAGCUAAUGACUCUUGUAACUACUUUCAUCAGAUGGCUGAGUAUCGGAUAUCUAUCUAUGGGAGGAAGAAAAGUGAAUGGGACCAGAUGGCAAGUUGGAUAGUGAACAAUGAAUUAUACAGUGAGAAUGUUGUUUGGUUAAUUCAGGUUGAUAGCCCCCCUUCUUGAGUCCAAGUGUGUUUAUUGACCAAAUAUUAAACUAUGGCUAACACCAAUGGAACAAGAAUACAGUUUAUGUGUUUUAUUUUUUGUUUUUACCAAGAUAGCUGCACUAAAUAUUGUUUCAUUUUUCUCUGCAGAUUCCUCGGAUAUACAACAUAUACAGGGAGAUGGGCACAAUCAAUUCGUUCCAAAACCUUCUUGACAAUAUUUUUCUCCCUCUUUACGAAGUAACUAUUGACCCUGCUUCGCAUCCUCAGCUGCAUGUUUUCUUAGAACAGGUUAGUGUAAAUACUUGUAUAAUCCGCCGAAUGGGUGGUUUCAACCUUAUUGUUUCCCCUAUUUCGAAAGGGACCAUUUGCAUCAUAUUCGUUUUCUUGAGGGCUGAGGAUGCAGCUAUAAUUAUCAUUUUUGUGCUUAUAUUCUUCAGGUUGUUGGGUUGGAUUUGGUGGAUGAUGAAAGCAAACCAGAAAGACGCCCAACAAAACAUAUGCCAACACCUGAGCAAUGGACUAAUGUUUUCAACCCAGCCUAUGCAUAUUAUGUGUACUAUUGUUAUGCCAAUCUGUACACACUGAACAAGGUAAACAGUUUGCAUGGAAAUCUGCCUGUGCUCAGUUAAUGAAAAUAGCACGGAAAAUCCUCUGCAGAAAUGAAGUUUUAAGUGUGAAUUUUAUUUUUCAUAAAUUCUAGCUUCCCUUUCACAAUUCAUCUGGUACAUCACACUGGUUGAUUUGAUUUUUUAUUUCUUUUUCUGGUACGAGCAGCUUCGUGAGUCCAAGGGCAUGACAACAAUCAAACUCCGUCCACACUGUGGCGAGGUAUAUGAGUAACACAGAUCACAUCUCCAGAUUGAACUUGAACAUAUUGACCUGAUAUCUGUUAUCUUCAGGCUGGCGAUAUUGACCAUCUUGCUGCAGCAUUUCUUACUUCUCAUAACAUUGCUCAUGGGGUUAAUCUAAGGAAAUCCCCUGUUCUUCAGUACCUGUACUAUCUUGCUCAGGUUAGUGAUGGUAUUUUCUAGUGAUUGAACAUCCAUUUGAUUCGUAUGGUCCCUUGAGAGAAACUAAUUUUCUUCUUUUUGGCUGUAUUCAGAUUGGUCUCGCAAUGUCUCCUUUAAGUAACAACUCGUUGUUUAUUGACUAUCACCGGAAUCCUUUCCCUACAUUUUUCUUAAGAGGACUUAACGUAUCUCUCUCAACUGAUGACCCUUUACAAAUUCACCUGACGAAGGAACCUUUGGUUGAAGAAUACAGUAUCGCUGCUUCGGUAGCGUCCCUUCCUCCAUCCCUGCCUCUAUCUGUGAUGUUUUGUUUUAUGCCUGCUUAUCUUAUCAUGCCUGCUGAUACUUGUUAUUCUUGGCAGCUUUGGAAAUUGAGUUCAUGUGACUUGUGUGAAAUUGCUAGGAAUUCUGUGUACCAGUCCGGUUUCUCUCACAGGCUGAAGGUAUAAGUUGCUCAUUUAUAUGUUAGUUUGUUUUGCUUGUCAUUCUGGAUCUUGGGUGGUGGAUUCACCAUCUUCUUCUCCGCCUCUUUAUAAGAGCUCUAACAUUGUCUUUUUUAGUCUCACUGGAUCGGGAGAAACUACUACAGAAGGGGUCCUGAGGGCAAUGACAUUCACCAGACAAAUGUUCCUCACAUCAGGGUUGAAUUUCGACACACGGUAUGCACCCCUUUUUUAUGUUUAUAUGAUAUAUGUCUUGCCAAUGGUUCUUGUAAGUUAGGCUGUAUCUGUUUAUAAUAUUGUUGGUACUACGGUUGCAGAUUUGGAAAGAAGAAAUGGAGCUAAUACAUUUAAGAAAUGUUAAACUACCGGAAGAAAUUGACCGGUGAAGAUUUACUCUGAUGCCCUGGCAUCCUGUCCAGACUGGCGCAUAGUUCCAUGGUUGGAAACCUUGCUAGAAGAAGCAAGUCUGUGCAGCCUGCCCGGGGUUGCAAGGGAGGAGAAAAAGGUGUCGAGCUGAUCCUACUUUCCGUUGCUUACCCGCAGAGUGGCUGAAUAGGAUCAUGCGAUGAUAGCCCCAAGGCCUCCUAGAUACUUGGUCCGGUGUGACACUGAAGGUGGUAGCACAUUGAAUAAGAAAGUUGAAAUCCUAUAUAGUUAGAAGUUACAUUAUUGGAAUGUGACCUUGUUGGAUUCGAUGUACGUAAUUAUAUUGGUGCGUCGGUUUGUGUAUGUACCUGUUACGUUUUACGUGCUGCGGUGGUUGUUUCUUUCUCUAACAAAAGAAUUGUUAAUUACUUGCUACUUUACAGAAAGAAGAACUAGCAGCUAGGCAGAGUAGAGUGAAUGGUGAAGGGAAACUAGAAGCUUUAGCUAGUGGGAUGUGGGGGGAAGAGGAGGAGCGGAGACGAUGCGGGCGUAGAUGAAGUGGUUCCAUGUGUCUGGCAGUCCCGGGAGGCACCAGUGGAUGCAGUCUGCGUAGGUCUUGGGGUCUGCCUGCUGCUCCGGGGUGAGCAGCUUCCCCUGGCGCAGCGUGUGCACGGAGGUGUGGGCGUCCUUGCGGAGCUCGGAGAGGGCGGUGAUGUCGACGAGGUGGACGGGGACGCGGCGGAGGUGCCGCGCCAGCACCCCGCGCGCCACGCCGUGCAGCCGCCAGUCCGUGCCGAUGUUGAGGGGCUCCGUCCGGUUCACGAUCGGCUGCGUCUCCAUGGCGCACUUGAUGCCGCCGCCGUUGCCCCAAGCCCAAGGCCUGCAACGCAAUGCAUCAUCCAGCGUUAUUAUUAACUUUAAGUUACUCCCUCCCUCAAAGCCAGCAUGGCAUGCAGCAUGCCCCGGAAACAAAGAAACAAGGGGAGGGCAUCUUGUUUUCUUCUUUGAUGGAAUCCUCUUGCGCUUUUUGCAUCGUGACAGGAUUCCCAAGCCUCCCUUUCAUCAUCUCUCUUUCAAGGAGAGGCAGUAGAGAAUCGAAUGAAAGCAACGCUUGCCAACCAAAAAGCCAAGGAAAAGACAAUAAAGCUGCUCCUAGUAGUAUAGGCUGGAUUUUGUUCCGGCGAAACAUUACUGCUACCUUGGCUGAUGAGGAUGCGACACCUACGUACAGACACAUACGUGGCUGCGACAUGGGAUUUGUAUUGUAGAGGCAGGGUGCAUUGGCAACAGGUAGGUAGGGUGGGAGGGUGACCACCUGGCUUGGCAGGAACUGAUCAUGGAUGCAUCACCCAGUCGCUGUUCGCAUAAAGAACAUAAAUAGAUAAAGAGCAUAAACAAAUAGAUAUGUGUGUCAGCGACUACGAGGGUGUUCGGAUACCAACUAAAAUUUAGCACCUGUCACAUCGGAUGUUUGUACUAAUUAGAAGUAUUAAACAUAGACUAAUUACAAAACUAAUUACACAGAUGGAGUCUAAUUCGUGACAAAUCUAUUAAGUCUAAUUAGUCCAUAAUUUAACAAUGUGGUGCUACAGUAAUCAUUUGCUAAUGAUGGAUUAAUUAGGCUUAAUAGAUUCAUCUCGCGAAUUAGCUCAGGAGUUCUGCAAUUAAUUUUAUAAUUAGCUCAUGUUUAGUCCUCCUCAGAUGCGCCGAUGCGACACUACUAAAGUAGCACCUAGAACUAGUUGAGCAUGCAUGGGCAAUUCUGAUCUGCUCUAGGACGCAGUCAGAUCACAUGCAUCCAGCUACCAAGCCUGCCUUUGUGUUUCUCAGGCAGUCCCAGUCACUCAAACAGAGCUGUGGCUACCAGCUGUCCAGAGCGCAGAAUUACUUUACUUGUUGUUGAUCUAGACGGAUUUUAUUUUAUUUUAUGUUCAUCCCUUUAGCUGUCAAAUGUCCAAAACAAGUUUUUCUUUCCCUCUUGCUCUUGGAAGUUUCUUCCACCCACUACAUAUGGAUGGUCAAACUCUGGCUGGAUCGGAGAAUCCUCCCUCCCUUCCCUCUCGCCUAGACUAUAUCGAUCGGCGGCCAAGCUAGCUCAGCUCGAUCAAUGAAUGGCUCUCGCUCACGGUGGAAAUUACAUUAGCAGAAGAAGAUGAAGAGACGUACGUGAUGUGGUUGGGCGACAUGCCCAUGAAGAAGACAGUGGUUCGGUUGGGGUCGAUGUGGCGGUCCACCCAUUUUGCCCACGUCUUGAGCACCUCCCGGUACGCCACCGGCCGGUCCACCAGAGCGUACUUGCUCCACCCUCCUGCUGCUCCCUUGUUAUGAUUCCUCAGAGCACCACUUCCUUUUCUGCCGAAUCAUAUGCAAAUAUGCAAUGCAAGCGUCGUCAUCAUCUCCUUCGAAAUGCCACUGGACAGCAAUGCAGCACAGCAAGGGCAGAGCUGAAGAGAAAUAAAAAAAAACUCACAGGACUUUCAUCUCGAAGGUGUUGAGCCACCAGAUGUAGGUGUUGAAGAUGAGGUAGUCGACGCCCUUCCAGUUGUUGGCGUGCUUGGCGAUGGCGCGCCAGGCGAUGACACGGUCCAUGACGCUGUGCACCUGGGGGUCGUCCGAGUUGGACUGGACCAGGAAGGGCGCCCAGUAGAACUCCACGGUGGCGUUGUACUCCUGCGCGCGCAUUCCUUUUUUGUUAGCAUUGCUGCUGCUGCUGCUGCUGCGAAAUUGACAAGCAAACCAUAACGUACGUGCGCGGUGAAGACGUUGAGCGAUCCGUUGUUGACGAACUUUUGCAGCGUCUUUUGGCCCGUGGGCACGACGGACUGCACCAGGCACACCAUGGACUCCCACUGGUUGCGGUUGAGCGAGUCCCCCACGAACAUGAGCCGCUUGUUCCGCAGCCGCUCCAGAAGCAGCGACGCGUCAAACCUGCAUGAUUUAUUACUUUUUAUAUACAGUAUUAUACUAUUAUUUACUGCAUACUACCAGGCUACUAGAGGGAAAAUCAAGUGUCGGUGGCUACCAGGGAUCUGUAACAUUCCUAGUCCUAAUUCCGCGGCAUGUGCACGGAGUAGUAUACGAGGCUGGAUCUAGCACUUGUGCAGCAGCAUAGGGAUCCCAAAAUCAUUGCAAAACUUCUUCUCUCAAUCGAUCAUGUGCAUUUCAUCAAUCAAAUCAUCGAAGAAUGAAACAACGAAUUUGAAAUUUGCAAUUUGGAUAGCAAUAUCGAGCUUAGUUACUGGUCAAGCAAGCAAGCACAUGCAUUGUCUUGUGAGGAAACCAAACCGAAUUCGAAAACAGAAUGCUGCUCCAUUAAUCCAAGCAACCAAGCGUAGCAAACAAACCAACCAGUGAAUCAAUCAAUCAGAAAAGCAACGAAAUGCCUGGUAGGUACCUGGGCAGGUCGCAUCCGUGGGGCUGCCACCUCCACUUCUGGUAGGAGUCGUCGCGGCGGCCGUUUCGCAUGCACGUCACCUGCUCCGUCAGGAACUCGCACUCCGACUCCCGGUACAGCGGCGACCGCUCCCCGGCCGCGUCGUACGUCCACCGCCCCUGGUACAGAUCGCAACCCGCCGGCAGCCGCACCACCACCUGUUGUUGUUGGUGCUUCUCCUCCGUCGUCUCUGCUUGCUUGUCCUCCGUCUGUGCUUGCUUGUGGUUGGCGUCCCCAUCCCUCACGACCUGGUCCUCCACCUCCACGUCCUCGUCGUGUUGUUGGUGCAGGACCCGCAGGUCCGGAGACCUCGCCCGCCCCGCGACUGCGACGGUCUCGGUGGGCUUGACGGCGUCGUCGUUGUAGAGGAAGACGGCCACCAGGAAGAUGACGACGACGAGGCCCGCGAGCGACAGCGGCGCGGUGGGCCUGCGAGAGGGCGGCGGCUUGGUGACGGCCGGCGCCGCAGCGGACGCGGGCUUGCGCCGGUGCUGCAUCGCCGCCCGUCUGCUCUGCAGCUGAGAAACCAAAGCCGAAUUGGAUUGGUUUUGACUAGCCACUCCAGUAUAUAGAGAGAGAGGAUCCCAAAGGGGAAAUUGAUUGGCUGUGCUGGGUGUUGCUGAUGGAUGGAAAUAAUGGAAUGGGGGAGGGGGAGGAGGAGGAGGAGGAGGCGGCGGCGGCCGGGGAAGGGAAUGGAGGGAGACGACAAGGAAGACGGAGUCCCAACCCAGGCAACAACUGGGUGGGGUGGGUGGUGGGAUGAAUUGUUAGGAAUUUUCUACUCCUACGGAGAUCAGAGGUGGGCCACGCGACUCCGCCCCCACCUGCCUGCUACCGCCCUCGCUCGCUCUUCUAAAAUUCAUUCAUUCAUUCAUUCAUGAAUUUCCAUGCCAAAUUGCCAGGGCCAUCCCCACUCUCGGGAGUUGGAACGAAGAUGAACUUGGAGACGGACACUGUUCAGUCCUCAGUGAUGUACGCACUACUACUCAUAGUAUGUUUGUACAGCGUACUUUAUGCGUAUGCAAGUCCAAAAUGAAAAUGUUGGUAUACGAAACGAGAGCCAGACGGAGCGAAAACAACAAAUGAAAAAACAACACAAAUACCGGCAGGUUGGAUUGGAUCAUCAACACAUGCCACACCACGUCAUCGUGCUUAACUUAACUUAACAACACAUCGACCGGUCACGCGCCGAACUCAACAAAUCUCAAGCAGAUUUAACUCCGCGCCGACAACUGCAGCAGAGCCGAAGCCUUUAACUCCGCGCCGACAACUGCAGCAGAGCCGAAGCCUUUCCACGACACCCACCAACAUUAACGCUCAUGUAGUCGCCGAAACCUCCAGACCCCUGACCCCUGCGUUGAUAGGGAACCAAUAGAAACAGAUUGUUGUGGCGUCCCGGCCCCGGGUCCGCCCCCUCGGGGCCGGGCCCGCUUACACCUGGCAGCUCUCUAGGAUAUCAGGAAUUCCCUCACAGACCAACACAAGUCUUUUCUGCGCACUUUGUCCUCACUCGUGCGCACCCGGGAAGAACUUCCCGGUCGGUCACCCAUCCCGAAAUUGCUCCGGACCAAGCACGCUUAACCCCGGAGUUCUUUGAGGAUGAGCUUCCGGAAAAGAAGUUGCAACUUGUUGGUAUGAGUAUUCUAUCAAUCUUAUUAAGCUUUAGGCCAGGAUGUCACAAUUGCACCGUACCGAGAAGGCCACCGCCAUGCGGGACCCUCCAUUGUAGUGCCGCUGCAACACCACAUUCCAUCUGAUAAAGUGAUAUCACCGAAUCCGGAUCUCUCGCAGUCGCCACCAUGAUAACACAACGUGUAGGGGCUGUUGGACUCUACCUCGCUCUCGUCGCCUCAAAGAAACACCGUGCACGGGGACCUUGCUAUGCCCGCCACAGUAUUCCACGUCACGGAUCUGUUUCUCUUGUCGCCGUCAGAGUGGUGAGCAAUGUUGCCCCACUCCACAAGAUCUCCAUCGAUCAGCCAAGCUGAAGCGUCCCCACAUAAGUAGAGACUAAAUGUGAUACAAAUAUCAGUCCCAGGAGGCUGAUAACACAUUUAUUCGACAGAUAAUUCAGUUACCGUACAACUCCCGAGGGAGCGAGCGUGAAAGCCACGCAGCGAUAAACAGUAAAUAAAUAACGGCGGCUAACCAAGCGACUGCCAAAAGACAGCACUCGGGACUACACGGCAGCAGCAGCAUCUUGGGCAGGCCAACACCACAGGCAGCGUCGGGUGCGGACGCAACCUCUACUCAAGGUCCUCGGCGACGAAGUCUGGGUCCUCCUCUGUAGCAACGAAGCAAGGGUGAGUACAAACGUACUCAACAAGUCCAACCCCAUCCACGGAGGGGGAUACAAGCAAGUUUAUGCACAAGUAUAACAAGGAUAGGCUAGAGUUUAUUUGCGGAAAAGCUAAAUUUUAGCACAUGCAGGGGGUUGUUCCAAAAGGGGUUUUCGUAAAGUUUUCCUUUAAUACCCAGAACAUUGAGUGGGGUUGAUCCUACACAAGGAUCCAAGUUUUUAUCGCUAUCGGACUCCCCGUCCGCCAUAGCGCACGGCACAACUGCCGGACUCUUCCAAAAUCCAACACACACACACACAUGACAUCCUUGCCCAAUUGCUAGUUAUGUGACCAAGCCGUAACUCGUCCAAUGCCGUGGACACGGCUACCCGAAUAGGUUUUUAACUCUGCAGAGGGUGUACACUUUUCCCACAAGUAGGGUACCGCAGCACGAUCACCUUAGUGAUGGUACGGAUCCUAACAAAGCUAUUACCCACCUUAGCUAAGACUGGCUAGCCCUCGCGGAAACACCCAAGGGGUUCACGGCUCGUCCAUGAGACCGUAACCGGGACCUAAGUCACCAAGAUCUUACUCCUUUUCCAUGGGUUCCUGUUGCUCACCAGCACCCCUGAGGACUAACAGUUCAGCUAGUGGGAUUUAUGCUAAGCCGUUGCCUAUACAACGGUCGAGUGGUUGCACGAUGGUGGAAUUAGGCAAGAUGACACAUUAACUCGGUCCUUAAAUAUGACAAGAUGGAUAUCUCCCGAUAUUGCUCAACCACCAAGGUACGAGCACAACAACAUGGCAUCCCACACAAGGAAUACCCAUCCAUCCCGCCUACACAUCCUUUUUCCCUGAACCCAAAAGCCAUUUCUCUCACUUGGACACACACACACAAUUAUUUCCUGAAAACACCAUGGUAAUAAUGAUUGUAGUUGUGUAACCAAUUCCUAAGCGUUCUAGCAGUGGUUAUCAUCUAAACAGAGCAAGUCGUAUUUAGAGAUAAGCAUAGGAUAACAAGGAAUGUUCGUAACAAUCAAGGGGUGGCUAUCCAACCAUGUCUUGCGAUGAAAUAAUAUGCAUUUUGUAAAACGGGCCAGUAGGUUGUGUUUGAAAAACUAGGUAUUAAGUAUGCAUCAAAGGGUGAGAUUGGACUUGCCGUCUUCAAAGCCUUCCGGGAGUUCCGGCUCGCGGUACUGGUCCUCGGGCUCGGGCUCGCGGUCAAACUCCUCCUCGGGCUCCUCCUCGGGCAAUCCGCGAUCUACGGCACACACAAACAGACACACGAAUAAAUAAAAGAGGAAACGGUUUUUAACCGUGAGCUCCGAACAGGAAACGCGAACUGAAAAUAGGUAGAAGGAUUAUUUUUGGGAAAUUUAGAUAUAGAUCGGCGAAAGUAUUCUGGAGGAUGACGUGGUAAAAUUUGGGAUUAAUUGGAGGAAGUUUGGCACAUGAAAUGACGGGUUAAACAUGGAUUAGGGUCUUAAACGGAGGCUUAAGGGCUGAUUUAUAGUAACCAGAGACUUAUUUGCAAUUACUUUCGGAAGUGGAGGGGCCUAGGUGUAAUUUGGGGAAACUUGGGGGUCGGAUCGAAAUGGGAGGACUUUUAUCUCUUCUUCUUCCAGGAAGGGAAGAGAGAGAGUGGGGAGUUGGGGUGGUCCGGCGGCGGCCGGCCGGUGGGGCUCCGCCGGCGGCGAGCCACGGGCCGGGGGCGGCGGUGGAAGGGAGCUCCAUUUGGCCCCUCACCUUGGAGUCUCGGCGCGGGAGAAGGGGCGGCCGGCGAUGGAAUUUUGGUGGCGGUGGUGGCGGCGGCUCGGGCGGCGGCGGUGCACGGGCGGCGGCUCGGGCGGCGGUGGCGAGCUGGGCGGUGGGGGUGCGGCGAUUGGAGCCCGGCGGCAUUCGCGGCACGCGGUCGGGGCACGCGCACGGCGUCUGACAACGGCACGCGGCGAGAUUUACGGGCAUGGAUAAAAAGGCAGGUGGGGGUCGGCAUGGGUGCCGGGACGGCGAAAUCGCCGGGGAGAUUUCCGAUUUCUAGGAGCUCAGAGGUAAAAAGGUUUUAAAGACGGUUUUUAACGGGUGAUUUUAGUUGGUGAUUUCUGCGGGCGUUACACAAGCCGCCGCCGCAGGUUGACUUCGCCUCAUUGCUUCACCACUGCAAAUAGCCUCCACCGCCGUGUCAGCAAGCUAGAAAAGUCGCUUGCGCCGUCUUCCGACGAUGUACCACACCGGAUAGCCUAGCCAAACUGAGCAACCCAUCGCGGACCGCUACAAGCCUAGUCGUCUCACGAUGCCGUUGCCGCAAGCGCCAUUCUCCGACGCAGUCCCACACCGCAUUGACCGUUGCCAAGCAACGCCAGCCGCCGCGGUCCGCUGCAAGCAGCCAAAACCGAUAACAAUGCAACAACCCCGCCGCCACCAUAACUGCGAUCGCCUCCACAUGACCUCGGCAACACCCGACCAACUUGCCAUGUGGUGGAAUUGCCGCACACUAGCUGCAGCCGCCCAUGACUCAAGGAUCGGGGCCUCUUCGUCCUCGAUGGCCACCAUCCUCCUCCUGGCACGAAUGGUGAGGUGGGCAUCCUUCAGUUCCUUGGAGUGCCGAUCCUCAGCCUCCUUGAGAGCCUCAACGGCAAUGGCCUCAUUGCUUUGGGCGGUUGCGGCUCGAGCUUCGACGGCGGCUAACUUCACCUGAAGCCUCCUCACCAUAACCUCUGCGUCAUCGGCCCUACGAGUCUGCUGCUUCAACUUAGCAGCCUGCUCGUCGUAGAGCUCGUCCAAGGUGAGAAGGUAGGCGGCCAUGUGGAGUACAGUGGGGUCGUCCUUGCGCUGUCCACGUCCUUCCAAAGUUCUCACCCGGGCCAGCCAUACCGGGCGGUUCUUCUUGACAGGCGGGUAGAACCUCAUCGGAGUGCGGCCGAUGUGCCUCUCGUAGAUCUGGCAUAGGAAACGGAGGGCCUUCCGAGCUGCCACUUGAUAAGUAUCCUUGUGCCGGAAGCCGGUGGCAGUCACAUUCCAAGGCUGGAUGUCGGGGUAGCGGAUACUCCGCCCGAUGUAGAUAAUCAUCUCACAUCGAGGGGUUCCGCGGUCCUUGUACUCCCUGCUGGUGUACUCCGGACGCUCGUAGAUUCCGAGGCAGUCCAUGCAGGCGAACAACAAUCUAGGAAAAUCGGGCUCCUCCAGGCAGUGGCUGUUAACCCAUCCUUCUUCGGCCAUCUGGAAAGAACUGGGGAACAAAUUAGUUUUGCAAUAGAUCAGAGGUAGGCAGAAAUUUUAUAAAUCUUUUAUUUUGGUCAAAAGGGCUAAUCCGGUCCUAAGGUUGCAUCCUACAGCCAACGACGGCUCUGAUACCACCUGAAGCGUCCCCACAUAAGUAGAGACUAAAUGUGAUACAAUUAUCAGUCCUAGGAGGAUGAUAACACAUUUAUUCGACAGAUAAUUCAGUUACCGUACAACUCCCGGGGGAGUGGGCGUGAAAGCCACGCAGCGAUAAGAAAUAAAUAAACAACAGCGGCUAACCAAACGACUGCCAAAAGACAGCACUCGGGACUACACGGCAGCAACAGCAUCUUGGAAAGGCCAACACCACAGGCAGCGUUGGGUAUGGACACAACCUCUACUCAAGGUCUUCGGCGAUGAAGUCCGGGUCUUCCUCUGUAGUUACGAAGCAAGGGUGAUUACGAACGUACUCAACAAGUCCAACCCCAUCCACGGAGGGGGAUACAAGCAAGUAUAUGCACAGGAUAAAACAAGGGUAGGCUAGAGUUUAUUUGCAGUAAAGCUAGAUUUUCAACACAUGCAUAGGCUCGUUUUCAAACAAAUUUUUGUAAAGCUUUUCUUUAGUAACUGAACAAGGAGUGGGGUUGAUCCUACACAAAGGAUCCAAGUUUUUAUCGCUAUCGGACUCCCCGUCCGCCAUAGCGCACGGCACGACUGCCGGACUCUUCCAAAACCCAACACACACACACACACACGUGACCAUCCAUGCCCAAGUGCUAGUUAUGUGACCAAGCCGUAACUCAUCCAAUACCGUGGGCACGGCUACCCGGAUAGGUUUUAACUCUGCAGAGAUUGUACACUUUUCCCACAAGUAGGGUACCUGUGGCGGAUCCACCUCGGAUUAGCUUGAUUAAACAUGGUUAAGUCGCCUAAUACGCGACACUCAUACCUUAGCCAAGUUAAUUCGAAGUGCCGUCGGAUUUCAUCCGAUUUAACCACUUGAACAGGACCGAAUUAGCAAACUCACACGAAGGUGAGCGGUUCCAGAGAAUACAACAAGUCCACUGAGUUAAACAAAUUUGACCACUUAGUUGAACAACAAAACGAAAAUCAGAGUUUUACACGGUUCAAAAGGAAACAACAAAAGGUAAACAACAAGUGAAAGCUACGCCGUCGGGGUCGGGCAUCCCUGGUGAGGCCAGCCAGGAUGUCAGUGAUCCCUCUCCUCGCCGUCCGAGGAGGGAUCCCACUCGACCGUCCAACCCGGAGGGAGUUGGGGCGGCCAAGUGCCAACAGAAGAAGGCUCGGGAGCAGCAACUUCACCUGAAAAAGAAAAGCCACAACAAGGCUGAGCUACUAAGCUCAACAAGACUUAACCGACAGGAGGAAGCUACUCCACCACUUCUAGACAUGCAAGGCUCUUUGGCUGAGGGGUUGGUUUGCCAAAAGCACUACGUAAAUCCUUAUAUUCAAAGUUUUAGCUCAGGUUCUAAGUUCAUUAUCCGGUCUAAGUUAGCAACUUACUCUAAGCAAACAUAGAACCAACCAAAGGGUGUAUAACAUCAUCAAGACCAAGUUAUCACCAGAUUCCAUCAUUACUCAGGGUAGCAUAGCGAUCAAGCAGUCUCAAACUGUGAGAGGCAGACGAAUCGAUUCGAGUUCUUUAACCAUGCAUGGUGAACCUAACCUCACGACAUCCGCGCACCACCGAGGGUCACUUCCUGUGUCGGCCUUCCCCAUCAAUCCCCUAACCCGUGUCGGGCCCAUUUCCUUUGGUGCAAGGUUCCACAGACCCGGCCUCUACCGUUCUGUGACCACGCUUGCCACCACGUGCGGCCGCAGGGGAAACUCCGUUCCAAGGAUAAUGGGGCGACCGCUCACGUCUAGGUUCAAUCCGGUACUAGGCUUCCUCAUCCCAUAAUAAGUAUGAGGUUAGUACUUUCAAACACUUGAUCACGAACACCACCACUGUCGGGCCUUAGCAAGUUCCAUAGACAGACGGGGCGAUCAACCGACCACCAAAGAAUUAACCAAAACACUGCCCCGUCCAUCGUCCUUAUAGUUGUAACAGAAGGAGAACAACCAACUCCUACAACUCGCGAGUGACAGGAAAUCACUCGGCUUUUACCGCUUCCUAAUUAAGCAUAGCAACUACUCGGUCCAACAGCUAGUGUUCAGAUCAAGGGAUCUAAGUCAUGCAUCUACGGUUCCAAACAACUCCUAUACGUAAAUGCACAAACGUGAAGAAGAAGGCAUGCGCAAGUUUGGGGAAAAACAUGGGGUGCAUGCAUCCGGGGCUUGCCUUCAAGCGAGGAAGGGAACGGGUCUUCUGCUGGGGCGGCUUCAGCUUCUGGAAGCCGGAGCUCGGCUACAACUUCGUCUUCUGGCGCCGGGUACAACUCGUAGAUGCCGUCGGUGAGACGCAGCUCUACACGAAUGUAAUGCAAGAGUUAGCAUUUAGACGGUUAUUUCAACAGCAACACUUGCAAGUUUUAGCCUAGAGACUAGUAGCGAAGCUACGGAAAAAGGGUGGGGAAGUUCGCUUGGGUUGGUGGAGAGCAAAGAAAAAAACGUCGGAUGGAAGGAAACUUAUGGUCUGACCCCUAGGAAUAGAUGUGCUGGGGUCCUCAGACUUAAUGCAGAGAAGUCCCCGAUUUUUACACAUAUACCCUCGGGUCAAGGAAAGAGAUACAGCCGAGCCCUCAGGCGAGGCGGAGAAGGGGUCGGCGAACAGAAGGGGUCGGACGAGGUGGACAAGGGGUCGGCAGUUUACCUUCGGCUCGCAGGCGAAACUUGGGGUCGGAAAAGGAGCAGACUUGGGCGGAAGGAUGGAAGCACUAAGACUUGGGCAACAGUGAUGUCCGGCGGUGCUCCGGCGGUGUCGGUGCUUCUUGUGGACAACAAGCAAGCUCUAGCACAGCGCGGAGGAGUAAGCGGCUGGGUGGUUUGGGAAGGCGGGUGUUGAGCGGAGAGUAGAGUUCCUCAGGGACUUAGGCAGUAGCGCUUGAGCACGAAACAGGAAGCGAGGCGGGAGGGCAGCGAUGGCGAAGGGAAAAUCCGGCGGGGCUCUGGCAUUCCCUUUUAUAGCUGUGCGGGAAGAGAGAGAGCUGGAGCAGCAUGAAGACCGGGAUGAAGCGAUGGAGUGCGCUGCCGGGGCGGCGAUAGAGCAACGAGGGCGGCGGAGCAGGACUUCGGGAUGACACCGUCGGUCAUUGGGCAUCAGAGACCGGGCGGCGCAGGCGCGGACUUGCCGGGGUUGAGAUUUGGCGGAGGCGGGCGUCAUCGUGCGGCGGAUCUGAUGGGUGUGAUAGGGGAAACGACGCUAGAAGCGAGGGCGCACAGGUGAGAAGACAGGCGGGCUGCGGUUGCGCGGGCGAGCGCGAAGCAACAGACUGUCGGGCGCAUCUCUGACAAGGCGGGAAAGGAGCUGUCGCGACCGAGGUCGGGGUUGGCGAAUGAGGAAUCGUCGCGUAGCGCAUCUGGGGUGGCGUGACGGUGGAGAGGCGGCGGAAAAGACGGGCGGCAUCGGCCUUGCAGCCGAGGGUUCGGCGAGGUGAUGAUGGGCGCGGGCUGCGAGGUGCUGCAGAAAGGGUUGCAGGGGGCUUCCGCUGCGAUUGGGGAAGGGGGCGCGGAUAUCCAUCCGGUCGUGGCCGGCGACGGGGCGGAGCGGCGGGUGUCGGAGGAAACGAGCCACGCGGCGGAGAAGCUCUGAAGCGGGCAUGGCACUCGAGUGCGUCUGCACCAGGAGAUCGGGGGAAAAGAUUUUGUGGGUCCACCGGUCAGUCUCGGUUGGUCCACUGCUCAGAUUGAAAAGAGGCACUAUGGGAAGACUUAGAAGGAUCCGACGAGGUGAGGUGAGUUGGGGUCGGCAGGGAUCGGAUCCGGGAAACGGUGGAGAGGGGUCGGGUUCCCGGGGUCGGGGCCGGACUGGAGGUUAAGCACUUGAACUCGGUAAAGCUGAGGUAGGGGAUCAUGGACUUGGAUUAGAUUAACUUGAAAGAUUUUGGGGUCGGUCGUCACAGUACCGCAGCACGAUCACCUUAGUGCCGGUGCGGAUCCUAACAAACCAUUACCCACCUUAGCUAAGACUGGCUAGCCCUCACGGAAACACCCAAGGGGUUCACGGCUCUUUCACGAGACCGUGACCGGGACCUAAGUCACCAAGAUCUUACUCCUUUUCCAAGGGCUCCCGUUGCUCACCAGCACCCCUGAAGACUAACAGUUCAGCUAGUGGGAUUUAUGCUAAGCCGUUGCCCAUACAACGGUCGAGUGGUUGCACGAUGGUUGAAUUAGGCAAGAUGACACAUCAACUCGGUCCUUAACCACGACAAGAUGGAUAUCUCCCGACAUUGCUCAACCACCAAGGUACGAGCACAACACCCUGGCAUCCCUCACAAGGAAUACCCAUCCAUCCUGUCUACACUUCCUUUUCCUUUGAGCCCAGAAAGCCAUUUCUCUCACUUGCACACACACACACAUUUAUUUUCCGAAUACACCAUUGUAAUAAUGAUUGUAGUUAAGUAGCAAUUUCCUAAGCAUUCUAACGGUGAUUAUCGGCUAAAUAGAGCGAGUCAUAUUUAGAGACAACCAUAGGGUAACAAGGAAUGUUCAUAACAAUCAAGGAGUGGCUAUCCAACCAUGUCUUGCGAUGAAAUAAUAUGCAUUUUGUAAAACGGGCCAAUAGGUUGUGUUUGAAAAACUAGGUAUUAAAUAUGCAUCAAAGGGUGAGAUUGGACUUGCCGUCUUCAAAGCCUUCCGGGAGUUCCGGCUCGUGCUUCUGGUCCUCGGGCUCGGGCUCGCGGUCAAACUCCUCCUCGGGCAAUCCGCGAUCUACGGCACACACAAACGAACACACAAAUCAAUAAAAGAAGGGUCAGUUUUUUACCGUGAGCUCCGAACAGAAAACGUGAACGGAAAAUAGGUAGAAAGAUUAUUUUUGGGAAAUUUGGAUAUGGAUCGGUGAAAGUAUUCCGGAGGAUGACGUGGUAAAAUUUGGGAUCAAUCGGAGGAAGUUUGGCGCAUGAAAUGACGGGUUAAGCAUGAAUUAGGGGCUUAAACAGGAAAUUUAGGACUGAUUUAUAAUAACCCAGGGACCUAUUUGUAAUUAUUUGUGGAGGUGGAGGAGCUUAUCUGUAGAAGGGUUAUGUGAGUGGUGGAAGGACUUAUUGGUAAUUUGGGAAAAGGUGGGGGUCAGAUCCAAAAUCCGGAGCAAUCUUAUCCCUUCCUUCAGGAACUUGGAGGGGAAGAGAGGGAGAGGGUUGACCGGCGGUGGCCGGCCGGGCGGGCCUCGCCGGCGGCAAGCCGAGGGCCGGAGAGGCGGAUGGAGAGGAGGGGGCUCCGUUUUGCCCCUCACCUUGGGGGUUGAGGAUGGGGAGGGACGGCCGGUGGCGGCUCGGUUGGCGGCGGUUUGCGGGCGACGGCGGGAGGUGGCGGCGGUGGCGAGCUGGGCGGUGGUGGUGUGGCGAGCGAGGCCGGGCGGGCGGCCCUUUUUAUAGGCCGGCGAGGGGCGGCCGGCGGUGGGGGACCGGGCGGCCGGCGGUGUGCGGCAUGGGGUGGGGGCCGGGCAGGCCGGACCGGCGGUAGGGGCUCGGGUGCCGGAGGAGGGCGUCGCGUGGGAAGGCAUCACGGUAAUGGUGGCGUGCGGCGAGCGGCACCGGAGGAGAGGUAAGGGCCGGUGGCGGCGCGGGCGUGCGCGCGGGGCCGGGCGGUCGAGGGGUCGGGCGCCGUAGGGGCCGGCCGAAGUAAUGGUGGGGGGGGGCGGUUCAGACGGAGUGGCGCCAGGAGCCGGUGUGCGGUGCGCCAGGAAGAAGAAGGAGGGAGGAGAGAGAAGGAAGGAGGAAGAAGAAAGAAGAAAAAGAAGGAAGGAAGAAGGAAAAAGAAAAAAAAGAAAGGGGAGGUCAAAAAGAGAAGAAAAAGAGGGAGACCGGCGGCGUUUGCGGCACGCGGUCGGAGCACGCGCGCGGCGUCUGGCGACGGCACGCGGCGAAAGUUACGGGCACGGAUAAAAAUUGAUGGCUGUCAGCUUGGGUGCCGAGACGGCGAAAUCGCCGGGGAGAUUUUAGAUUUUCGGGAGCUCAGCGGUAAAAAGAUUUUGAAGGCGAUUUUUUAACGGGUGAUUUUAGUUGGUGAUUUCCGCAGAUGUUACUGGCGCCUCCUCGGGGUGUCACUACCUUACACACGUGCCUCGCCGCGCGAGCCCCCACCAGCGCCUAGACGCCUCCCUCUCUCGUCACUGCCUCCGCAACUCAGUCGAGGAGAGGUGGCAUGACAACGCUCACGGCACCACCUUGGUGCCGCCAGUGUGCUCCCGUGCCAGGUGUCCCUGCCGCGCCUCCAUGGCGUCGUUGGCACGCCUUGCACAAGCCACCCCCGCCGCGACACCACGCCGCCACAAUUGAAGACACAUGAGCUACCAUGUAGAAGCGUCUCGUUGACUGCCAUGAAGCACCAGCCCAGAUCUGGCCAGCCGUCGCCAUCCCGCCACACGCAGCCGGCACGUCUCGCCUCUGACCCGCACCCAGCGCGCCGCGCCCCCAGGGCCUCAGCCGACGCCCUCGCAGCCCCGGAUCGUUGCUAAUCUUGGCACGCUGCACCGCCGCCACCUCCACUUCCACGCACGGGUGCCCUAGACGCGUGGCCACCGGAUCCGGCCAAAACAGCGCCGGAUCCGUGGCCCCCUGCCAGAAGGCCGUUUGCGCCGGCGAGCUCCCUCAGGGGGUCGGAAUGGCCGCGCCCGCCGCGAGCCACCCAAGACGCGCGCUGCACCGCCACACCUCCGUGCUGCCGCUUCCACGCCACACGUCGGCCCCAUCCCACCUCCGCCACCUGCACCCGUGGGCAUCUCCUCACUGACACCAUGCCCCAGAUCCGACCGAGUCACACCCCGAGCCAGCAAAGAAGCCCCGCCGCCACCCUCAUAGCCCGCCCACGGGCUUCCGGUAACGAGCUUAGGCGGCGGCAAGGCGGAGGAUUGGAGGUUGGGGCGGCGGCGGCAAGGGAUCGGGUUUGCCGCCCGAGCCUGAGAGCGAUGCGGGGGCGUUCCUCCAAACCCAAUACGAAAAUGUUGGUAUGGAUGUAUCAACAAGCGGCUAACACAGCACAGAUGCAGGUGCAGCUCCUACUCUACAUCCGCCCACAACUUCGAUUCACAAGGAAUAGUUUUUAGCACAAGAAUGACCUUAGUUGGAACCAUUGGCGUUAAAUUAACUUUUUGAUUGCCACAUGAUGAAAAUGUAUUGAUCUACUACAUCUCACCUAUCCAUAAGGCUGGAAUCAAUCGAUUGUAACUUCAGGAUGCUUAGGGGAUGGCAAUAAGCUAGGAAACAAUGGGACAUGUACUAUACAGAUAGAUGUUGCAAGUUAAAUGUUGAACUAAACACCGAUCCAUAAAAUUACAUCCAUACAUAGAAACUGGUACCCAGGCUAAGUAGUAAGUGACUAACUACAUAACAUCAAGAGGUUAAACGCGUCACGUCUUUGGUUCUUGCACAUAGCAUCAAGUUAUCAUCACCUAUGGUAGCGAAUGCUGCCAUGAUCAAGUUUCCAGAGCUGUGCUUUUCGGCAUAGGCUUUGACCUCCUCAGCGAGCUCCGUAUCCCUAGUAAAACAUGUUGCACCAACCUGCACAUCAUGCAUCGUCGUCAACGUGGCCCCAGAGAACGUUAGACAGCUCAAACAGCCGACGGCCAUGGUCACCCGUCCGGCGGCCCUGCGGCUUCGGCGUCUCGUUGGGCUUGGGAGCCGCGGCGGCCGGCGCAUGCCUCACAGGCCGGGCAUCGCCGGACUUGAUGCUCUCCCCCUCCAACUCCAACUCCAACGCCUCCGCGUCCUGCUCCUUCUCGGAACCCUCGUCCUCCGGCGACGGCGGAGCGGUCUUGGUCGACUUCUUGGCCCCGUCGAGGCAGAGCUCCUCCGAGUCGUCGGGUGCGGCGCUUGGGGGCCAUCGGAGCCCCGAUGAGCGGCGGAGGGAGGGGAUUGGCUGGCUGCUCGGGAUGGGCUUUUCACAUUUCAUCAGAGAGGAAGAGUGACCGCUGCAGUUUUGGCGUUUUGCGGAGAUGGGGCGCCGAGUCUAGUCCUCGUCUCUCCCAUCUUGUUUAUGAUUAACAAAGCUGAGAAAGAAUUGGGCUCUGAUGUGUCCGUGCCCGGGAUCUCCGUGCCGUCGUCCCCGUCCUCCGUCGCCAACGUCCGAGCGUUAUUCGACAGUGACGAGGCAGCCGAGGAGGAGGAGGAGGGCGGCGCGGCCCCGGCGACCUCUGUCACCAGCUGGCGGCUCAAAGAGAAUGGAGCCGCGAAGACGACUAGCACGAGUUGCUCACCACCAUGGCCGACCUCCGCAAGGGAAACUCUAGCGUGAUUCUAAAGGAGCUCGAUCUGCUCUCCGAAAAGACGCGCCGACUCAAGAAUCAGUUGAAGACGGCUGCCGCCAAGGUCGCGUUACUCCUUUUGCAUGCAUCCAGUAGCUAGCUAGUCUCCGUUUUUUUUUUUUUUUGCGAGGAGCUAGCUAGUCUCCCCUGAUCGAUGUCGUCAUCUAUAUGUGGAGCCAAGCUAUCCUGUGAUUAAAAACAUACAAGUAUUCAUUUCCUGGGUACAAGCAAGUGGUUAUGUCUCAUUUACAUUGGCAAUCAUGUACACAAGUAUCCGGAAGAAGCAGCAGCAGCAGCAGCAAGGAGGGACUUUUGGCACAUGGUGGUUCCCUGGAAGCAGAGGAUGGUGUGGUCGGCGACCUCCAGCUUGUCGGAGUGCGUCAUGGCCCUGAAGCCCAUGGAUCCCGUCCACAUCCUCAGGAGCUCAGGCACCGCAGGCAGCACCAGCCUGUGGACGCCCAGGUCUCGGGCCAGCAUCUUCUCCAGCUCCGUCAUGAGCAGCCGGAGCAUCCCCUGGCGGCGGUGCGCGAAGCGAGUCCCCACCAGCGGCAGCUCCGCCACCUUGUUCCCGUACACCCGGAGCGUGGCCACGGUCACGAGCUCGCCGCCCUUCUCCAGGCCCACCACGUAGUAUCCCCGGAACUGCAGGCGCCGCAGCUCCGACUCCCGGUUGAAGACCACGUCGGCGCUGAGGUCGCUCUGCGUGCGGGGCUCCACCAGGGGCACGAAGCAUUCGUGGAGCACGUCCAACGCCGCGCGAAGCUUCCCGUGCUCCAUGGCCAUGGCUUCCUCUGAGGAUACGCCUUGUUGGUCGUCGGAUCGUCGUCGCAGGAUGGCCAGCGACACGCCCUCAGCUGAGGUCGGGAUCGAGGUGCCCGCGAGGCCCUGCAGAUACCGGAAAACCCUCUCGCACCCGGGGCUGCAGAGCCACGGCCCUUGCUGCAGUUGGAGGCCCCCUUCCACGCAGCCGACAUGGUACUCAUGCUCGCAUUGCUCGCAGUAUAUGAUGGUCUUGUCCGUCAAUGGCCGCCGGGUCGUGUCGUCAGGAUCAGCAGGGUCGAAGUCGCUGCCACCGCAGGCGGCGCACCUGCAGCACGGGCAGAACCACUCUUCUUCUUCUUCUGGAGAAGCAGAAGCCGCCGGCAGGCCGAGGCAGUCGUGAUGGAACGCCGACGGGCAGUGGUCGCAGAGCAGCAGCUCGCCGCCGUCGUUGCAGAUGGAGCACACCGAGUCGCCGCCGGGGUCCAGGCAUGCCUCCUUGAGCCUCACCACUCGUCGCAUGCCUUUGUUAUUCCUGUCGUUGUUGCGCCUCAUGAGCUCCACGAGGCACUGCGACAGCGACCUGCCGUCCUUGAGGAACAGCCGCGCCCAGGGGCGGCCGGCCGUGCGCCUCCCCCGCGUGGCGUGCGCCUCGAACUCCGCGACCGUGAAGGCCUUGCCGCAGCACGUGCAUCGGAUCACCCCGUCGCCGGUGAUCAGCCCGACCUUGCUGCUUGUUGCCGCCGCCGCACUGUACGUCACCUUGUCCCUCGGCACCAGGAUGCCCUCGUCGAUCAGCACCGACAGCAGCGUCCUCGCGCGGCGCGGGCACGUCGCCGCCGCCGCCUCGCAGCUGGGCCGCAGCACGCGCGACGAUCCGGCGGCUUUCUUCUUCUUCCUCUUGCUGCUGACGGUGGUGGUGGUGGUGGUGCAUCGCUUGAUCAGGCAGCUGCCAUCGGCGGCACCCUCUACUGCUUGGCAUGUUUUCUUCUUCUGGAUGGUGGUGCAUUUCUUGAUCACGGGGCCGCCGCCGCCGCUGCCACAACCAGAACUGAUUCGUAGUAGCUCGGAUAUUUUCCUCUUCUUCCUGUUGCCGGUGGUUGGGGCGGUGGUGGAUUCCGAUGAAGUGGAGGUGAAGGCCUGGCAGGCGGUGUGGAGGGAGGGGUAGGAGCGGCCGGUGGGCGCCUUGUAGCGCAGCUCCUCCCGGCCGUCGCUCUUGAGCUUCAUCCAGAAGCUCCACCCGGACGCCUGGAGCUGCCUCUUGGCGCUAGCGCGCAGCCGGUCCGCCGUGGGGCCCGUGGCCCGGUGAUUGGACGCCAUGAGGGCCACGUACUCGGCAAUGGCGUUGGCGUCCUCCUGCUGCGUUGGCGUUGGCGCCGGAUCGUCGUCGUCGUCGUUAUAAAUCUUGUUGGUUUCUGGUGGUGGAGGUGGAGGAUGCUGGUCAUCAAGAAGGGACCGGGUGGCCCCCGCGGCGACGAUGAGGUCCGGGAGGGAGCAGUAGGUCUUGCCGUCGUGGGAUUCGUAGCGGAGCCUGGGCGCCAUGGCGGCGUUGCGCCUGGACACGAUCGUCCACCCGAGCGCCACCAGGUGCUUCCUGACCUUGGUCCUGAGGGCCUCGUUUCUGCUGCGUAGGCGGGACGAGAGCUGCCGGCGCCCGCGCUCCGAGAUGAGCAGCGCGGCCACCUCCGGCGAGAACUCGGCGUCCAGCGCCACCGGCUGCCACGCCGCCGCCGUCGUCAUGGUGGUCAUCUGCCAAUGUGUCAACCUCCUAGGUUUGCAUUGCAUACAAGUAGUAGUAGAUUGUAGAUUUAUAGAUGUCGCCGUGGUGCAGGCAGGCGGAGUUGGAGUUCGGCUCGGAUCUCAUCCACCAGGCGUCGGAGUCGGAGAGGGAAGGUGAAGAUGGAGUCCGAUGCGGUUGCGGCAAUCUCCAAGGAUGACGACGGAUCAUUCAUUCAUUAUGGGCUUCUUAGUUGUGGCCUAGGCCUCCUGGGCCGUGGGCCGUGGGCCUGUUUCUACCUACCUACCCCUCCGUCCGGCCCGCUCACCUAAACCAUCUUCUUUCUUCGUCUUCCACGCCACCGUCGGAGGGACGGCAACAAAUCAGUCAGUCCGACGCGACGACCUCGCCGUCGCCGCCCGCCCGGCGAUGUUCGCCAAGCGCCUCUUCCACAAGGCACUCCAGCACCAUCACCAGGUCAGCUCUCCUGCCCUGUUCCCCUCUUCGUCUCCCUCGCUCGCUCAGCUCUGAUUGCGGACCCGGUCCAUGCUUACCGUGGCGGCUUCACCUUCUGCUUCUGAUUCCCGUUCUACUCUAUGCGUGCCCUUGCUGCAGGGAGCUGCUGGGGACGUGCCCCAAAUGGACGCGCAGAUCGCGCUUCACUACGGGGUGCCCUACACAGCCUCGCUGCUCGCCUUCGAUCCAGUCCAGCGCCUCCUCGCCGUCGGAACGCUGUCAGCCUCGCCUCCUAAUCACUUUCAUCUGUAUCGCAGCUACCUAUGCUUGCUUCAUAACAAAACAACCGUGUGCCUUGCGCUGUCACUGAAAUAAUUAGAGCUUCACUAAUUUCUGUCUUUCUUCAUGCAUGCUACCUAUAGUAUAGCAUAUAUAAAAAUGCACUUUACAUAACCAUGGAAACAAGCUGUUCAUUCAGUUUCUCUUGUUGUAUAUGUCUCAAAAAAAAGACUUGGCCCUGAUUUCAAUUCAGUAACAAAGCUGAUGUUAAUUGUAUGAAAUGAGAUAUCUUCGUCACAAGUUUAACCCUGUCUCUUGUCGAGUAGAUGCUCAUAGCCUUUCUGCACUUCAAUCAAACUGUAGGGAUGGUAGGAUAAAAAUAUUUGGGGGUGAUAGUAUUGAAGGCCUGCUUAUAUCACCAAAGAGUGUGCCGUACAAGUUUUUGCAGGUUUGCCUCCUCUUGACUAAAAUAUCUUCUCUUCACAACCAUUACCAUGUCCAACUUGCACUUUUUCCUUGAACCAACUAAUGGGUUGCUUCUUUACAGUUUAUAAUAAACCAGGGGCUUCUGGUUGCAAUUUCCAAUGAAAAUGAAAUUCAGGUGAGCCACUGACAGAUGAAGUUUUUUCUGUAUUCAAACUCUUCUUUCUUUUUGGAGUUUUAUUCCUACUUUGGGUAUCGCUGGAGUUCAUAUAUGUAAAUAUGUUAACAUCGGCUGUGGGCUGCUCAUGUGUUGGUUCAUACUCCAACUUUCUUCAUUACAUGUACUUUGAAUAUGACCUGCCAAAAAUAAACCCCUAGACCAACCUAGGAGGAACUAGGUGGCUUUGAUAUUAAGAAGAAGAAAUGGGCACUUUAAGUUGAGUUGAAGAGGACUCGCAUAUAGCCUCCCACCAACUGAACUACCUUGAAUACAAUCUGUCAACAUUCUUGUAUAGCCUCGUCAUUUUGUAAUGCCAAGGACACAUCUACUAUUAGUCUUAAAUAUCAUGGGAAGAGAUUGAGUUAAGCUCUGAUAAUGGAUGGUUUAGGGGGAGAAUAGCUCAUAAGGAAAGUAUCUUCCAAUAUAGUGCUGAAUCAUGUAAACUACAAAUAUUGUAAAGCCAUAUGGCACUUUUGUCUCAAUCACCAUACACGAAAAGGAACUCUGCACAAGAGCAUCGCAAGAAACUCUUGAGAGAGAAAAAGUACUUUUCCCUAUUAUAUAGUGUAACACCUAUAUCUGAACUCUCUUUUACUCCUUGCGUUGUUUAUCUAAUAAGAGUGUCGGCUGUUCUCUACCCUGAAAUUUGCAAGCAUGAUAUCUAGCGCUGUUAGUGACUGUUGCAUAUGAUACAUGCCUGUCUUGUAGGUAUGGAAUCUUGAGUUCAGGCAACUGUUUUGUUCAUCCCAGUGGGAUGUCAACAUUACUGCUUUUGCAGUCAUAGAGGGGUCCUUUCUGAUGUAAGCUAUUGACACGGCUACUCAUUUUUUCCACAUUCUAAAAAUUUACUUAGUUUGGCUUUGCAAUUUCUGUUUGCAGAAACUCAUAACUCUUCUUUUGUAUUCAAAAUUUGCCUUAAGGUACCUUGGAGAUGAGAAUGGUCUUCUUUCUGUAUUGAAGUAUGAGGUAGAUGAUGGGAAGGUUCAAAGAAUGCCAUACAAUGUUCCUAUCCAAUCUUUAGCCGGUACACCUUUACAUCUUCCUCGCCAAAUCUUAACUGCAACUAGAACGUUUCUUCCAAUGGCCUCUAUUGGUGUACAAAAUAUCCUUCCAUAUAUGGUGGACAAAACUCCAACUCUGAGCAAAGAUGAUUAUAGUCAAUCCACAAAAAUAUAAGAUGUUAGGCACAACUGCAUAAGUAAAUGACUUGAGUCAGUACAAAUUUUGGUGAAAUUGAGUGUGAUCAUUAAUAUAUACUGCUUACCCAUUGAGGUUCAAAGUUAAAUAUUCCAUGGUCCAUUUUUUUCCCCACAGAAACAGCUGGUGUUUGCUUACAGGAUCCUCAACCUAUUGUUGGAAUACUGAUCCAACCUGAAACUUUUGGGACAAGGUGUGUUCUUUCAUUUUAUGUGACCUGUAGACAUGUGGUAUUAUUGUCAGUUCCUCACUUUGUUUUGUUACGGUUAAAACAUUUAUGUGAUCUACCACAUGUCUUGGAAUAACAUAAAAAAGGUUUUUAUGCAAGAAAAAAAGAAGAAUAAUAGCUUUGUUUUCACCCCAUUAUUCUCAUUUUGAGGCAGAUCUAUUUUGUGAACCUGGAACACUUAAGAAUGACUGCUGGUAAAUGUUGCAGGGUGCUAAUUGCGUAUGAGAAAGGGUUGCUGGUUCUUUGGGAUGUAUCUGAUAACAAUGCAGUUUCUGUUAGAGGCUAUGGUGAUUUACACAUGAAGGGUCAAAUCACUGGUUCUCAGAGGGACGCUGGUGAAGAUCAAUUGAAUGAUGCUAUUGAUGAAACUGAAGAAGAAAGAGAAAUUUGCUCUCUUUGUUGGGCAUCGAGAGGGGGCUCAAUUGUUGCUGUUGGCUAUAUAACAGGAGACAUACUUCUAUGGGAUAUGACUACAAGAUUCCCAAGACAAGACAAGCAAAUCGAUGUUUCAUCUAAUGUUGUUAAGCUGCAGCUGGCUUCAGGGAGUCGUAGGCUUCCUGUUAUUGUCUUGCAUUGGUCUGCUGGGUCAGCAAUUCAUUCUAAUAAAGGAGGGCAUCUUUUUGUAUAUGGUGGUGAUGAUAUGGGAUCUGAAGAAGUUCUCACGGUUUGCCUCUUGUUUCAUUCUCAUUGUUACGAUUUUCCUUUUCUUUUGCCUGCCAUCUUAAAAGGCAUUGCUGAGCACAAUUGAUUCUUCUCAGGUGAACUCAAUUGUACCUUUUUGCUCCUUAACAAAUUUGGUGAAGUGAAUUCCUAGCUCAUUGAUGUCACCUGGCUGUGAGACGUGUUUAGUGUAGACAUACAAUACUAGUUUGGCUUUGGCAUGGUGACAUAGCCCACAUGGGUGUAUAGAAAAUAUGACCUACCAUGAGAGUUUUGUGCACGUAUAAAGAUCUUUUUCCCAGGUAGAACCAAACAAGUCUGGACAAUCCUCUUGGUUCAGGUCUCAGCAGCCAUAUCUAAUUGUUCAUCUAAAGUGAUGUAUUCAUACUUAUCAGGAUGACUAUCCUAAACAUGAAAAAACAGUUUGUUUGUUUUUAAAUUGUUUUCCCAAACUUUGCAUUUCAGAAAACUAGACCUUUAUCAAUGACAAAAAUGCUCAUUUUCUUGCAGGUUCUUAGCCUGGAGUCGUCUGCUGGAUUAGAAUCAGUAAGAUGCAUGUCACGGAUGGACCUCAAACUUGAUGGAUCCUUUGCUGAUAUGAUUCUUAUUCCUGAUACUGGGGUUCCUGAUAAAAGCAAAACUUCUGCACUUUUCAUUUUGACAAAUCCUGGACAACUGAAUUUUUAUGAUGGCGGUUCUCUAUUUUCUGUGCAAAAUACAAAAGAGGGAAAUGCUCUGCCUGAAGCACAAAAAUUUCCAGUUGCCGUUCCUACCAUUGAUCCCAACAUAACAGUCACGAAUCUUUGUUCACUAACCGAAAGAGAGCUUUCAAAUAUUUCAUUGAAGGUGCAUUCUGCUUGGAUUUGGAUAUUUUACUCUAUCAAGACAGCAUCAUUACUUAUGUAAGACCUUUUUUCUGUAGAAAUUUUGUGCUAGGCAAAAUGCUGGACCAUUCAUAUCAGGGAACAUGAAAUGGCCUUUGACUGGUGGGGUUCCAAGUGAGAUGUCACUGAAUGAAGAUCAUGCUGUUGGAAGACUAUACAUUGCAGGAUAUCAAGAUGGUUCUGUGAGAAUAUGGGAUGCAACAUUUCCUGUUCUGAUGCCAAUGUUCGUCCUGGAUGGAAAGGUAAGUCUCAUUUAUAUUUGCAUGAUUACUUGCAUUAUUCCUCUUUGGCCUAACAGAUUAACUAAUACAGUGAUAAUGAUUCUUUACCACAGGUGGCUGAUAUUAAUUUGGAUGGGGCAAAUGCUUCUGUGUCAUCUUUGGCCUUUUGUUCGUUAAACAUGACUUUGGCUGUUGGGACAACAAGUGGCCUGGUUAGAUCUUAUUGUCAAAUUUGUGGAUCAGUUGUUGUUGGUCGUUGAUACCUUGUUUAAUACCCCUUUUAUAUCUCAUUGUAGGUACGCAUCUAUAAACUUCGUGAGCACACUGGGGGUUCAAGCUUUCACUUUGUGAGUGAUUCUAAGCAAGAAGGUAAUUAUUUCAGGAAGCUAUAUGUGUCAUUAUGAACCCUUAUGACAGGGGGAAAUGUCUAGGAAGUUUCAGCUGGUGAAAUGGCCUAUUUAAAUCCCCCCAGACCCCUUUAAAUGUCAGAUCAGUUUCCCAUGUGAAAAUGUUGCUGCCUUGUUAAGGCAGUGUUAUGCCAAUUUUACUUCCUUCUCUUAGCACAUACAAGAUGCUUGGCAUGUCUGAAUGGUUCCUUACUGAAACGAAAACUGAACCGUUGAUUAUGAUUGAGCUUUUACCAGUGGACAAAAAACUCGACUGACCUAGGAGAAACUAGGUGGCUAUGUAAAUAAGAGGAAAUAGGCACCCAAAUUCUUGUUGAAGAGAACUCAAACCUAGGUGGUGAGGGCACAUCUCCCACCAACUUAUCAGUGGACAAAAAACUGCUUAGCCGCCAUAUCACAUUUAUAGAAACUGCGAAUGUUGUUUUUCACUGAAGGUUGAAAUUAUUUGUUCCCGUGCUAAAAAACUACUGAAGUAGGCCAUUAGCGAAACUCAUGUUAGGCAUUACAAAGUUCUCUCUUUGAAUAUGGUUCGUUAUAUUUUCAUUAACAACAAAUACUCUUUUCGUUUGACUUUCUUACAGUUCAUGUUGUUCAUCAAGGGAAAGGAUUUCAUUGUCAUGUUGCCUUUUUGGCAUCACAUUCCCCAGUGCGAUCUCUAUUAUUUACAGCUUCAGGGGAGGUACUUGCAGCUGGCUAUCAGAACGGUCAGGUAUAUUCUACCUAUUUUUAUAAUAGAUGCUGUCCUUUAGAUUUCUAUUAUUGCACUAUUUGCUUGAAACUUACAAUUACCAACUUAUAUCAGUUAAUCAUUAUGUUCUGGUUUGUCUUCUUGAAGGUGGCAAUGUUAGAUCUAAGUCAGCUAUCAAUUCUAUUCACGGUAGAUUGUGCAUCAGGAACGAACUCUCCUGUUGUUUCCUUGGGUAUUUACAGUGUUGCGCCAUCUGCUGCAAAAGCAGAUGAAUCAAAAAAAGAGAGUCCUCAAAAUGCUAUGUUACUCAGAGAUAUUCUUCUUUCCUUGACAAAGGAUGGCCGUGUUACUGUACUUGACUGCACAACGGGUGUGAUGAUAAAUUCACAUAUCUUAGAUCUGAAGCAAUCAUCUGCUAUUUCCAUGUAUGUCAUAGGCAAGUGAUUACUAUCAUUGCAUUAAGGUGGCACUUGUACCUCCUUUAGAUUAUUACCUAACUUUGCAAGCUUUUGCAUGUAGAUGGAGCUUCAGAUGAGAAGCAAACCCAAUUAUCAGAGGACACAAUUGGAAGUCAAGGUCAGACAGGAAAAGAAGGCAACGAUCUUGACAAAAAGCAAGCACCAGGAGUUGGAAAGCACCUGAAAAAUGCUUCCCACCUUUCACAGAAUGGUGGUUCAGAUUCACUUCUUCUGGUCUGCUGUGAGGAUGUUUUGCUUUUGUUAUCCCUUGCACCAUUGGUUCAGGUGUGUACAUAGCUGGUACGAACUGCUUUUUGUUACUUUCCAAACUUCCAUAUCUUACUGGUGACGUUCCUUUUCCUAUCAGGGAAACAACAAGCAUCUACAUAAGACAAAACUUGCAAAACCUUGUUGCUGGUCAGCAGUUUUCAAGAAUAUGGAUGGCAAAAUUUGUGGGUUGAUAUUAGCUUAUCAGACUGGCACUAUAGAAUUAAGGUAGUUUUGUCAUCUCUUUGCCUUGUCAUACAAGAUAUGGAUAAUCAGUGCAGCUUUGAUAUAUUGACUUAAAAGUUUAUAUAUAUUAGAAAAUGUGUCCUCUGUUUACAUCUAAACAUAUGCUUUGAAGCAGAAAAAAAUAGCUUACUGCAAGUAUUUUGUUUCACCACUUGAACCAAAUUUCACCAUGUAGAAUCACAUGAGAAUGUUUUAAGUAUAGAUAAUACUGAUUUUCAAUGUAGUCAAUAUUAUUGGGUUUUAAAAGGUAGAUUUUUGACUAAGCCCUUUCAUCUAUUUUACGUACUGGCAUAUAUUCACAUAUCCGUGCUAGGGAUUGAUGAAGUUUGCUCAGACCAUGGCAAUUUGACUUUAUUAUGGGCAGGUCUGUGCCAGAUCUAGCUAUUGUUGCUGAGAGCUCCUUGAUGUCGUUAUUGAGAUGGAGUUACAAGGCAGGCAUGGAUAAAUCCAUGAGCUCCUCAAACGGACAAAUUACUCUGGUAACUUUUAUCACUUGCCCUUCUAACUUAGUCCUUAGGAUCUGGUUGGUGGAUUUCAGAUUUAGUAUAGUGAACUUUAGUGCCUAGUAUGUGUAGUAGUUUUGGUUUUAAGUUCUGUAUUGUUGCUGCCACAUCCAUAUCGAGCUUAUUUAAUCCAAACAGAGCAGGUUUUUUUUCCUGGAAUUUUGGUACCUAAAACGGGUGUCAUGUUUUCUUUGUGGCAAGCAUGCUUGAAGAGGUGGUUGAGUUUGUUCACCAAUAAACCUACAACUUACCAGUUGAUUCAAUUUUUAAAGGAAACUAGGGGCCGCCUGGACCAUUUGGAUUUCAUAUAUAUUCAGAUUUUACUGAAAAAUGCUCAUUUUCCUAACAUAUACUCCACCACAGGUAAAUGGAUCUGAAUUUGGAAUUAUAUCUCUCAUGGCCUUAGAGAAUGACUUCAGGUACUUCACAUUUCUUGCAUUGUUGCACUGAGAUGCUAUUCAGAUUGAGAAGUAAUAGGUUUGACUGCUGACCCUGUGGUAAUAGGAUUCCAGAAUCUCUGCCAUGCCUUCAUGACAAAGUUCUUGCAGCAGCUGCGGAAGCAGCUAUUAGUUUCUCAACUGACCAGAGAAGGAAGCAGGUAUCCAUUUCUUUUCUGAUCUCUUUUAUCGAUAUGGCAGCUGCUGUACAUUUUGGCUUCACAUGAAACACUUCGGUGCAGAAUCCAGCAGCAGGAAUCCUUGGUGGCAUCAUUAAAGGAAUGAAAGGCAAGGCUGAAGAAAAUGCAAAAAUGAGAGAAAGCUUCACUGUGCAAACCCCCAGCGAACAUUUGGAGUCAAUUUUCUUGAAAGAUUCAUUUGUUGAACCAUCAAUACCCAAUCUUGAUGACCCGAUAGAAGAACUGUCAAUAGGUUCUCUUUCCCCUUCCUCAUGAGCAUUUAUCUGAAGUGUUCCCUGUUAACUUGAGAGUAUUCAAUGCAGAUGACAUAGAAAUUGAUGAUGAAGUACCAGUAGCCCAGGCACCAGCAUCCUCCUCUACAUUUCACGGGAACAAGAGAACAGCAGGUCGGACCUAAUACUUGUGCAUCUUUUUUGUUUCUACUAUUGAAGGUUAUACUUGUGUAAACUCUGUAUGAUUUUGUUGGCUGUAGAAGAGGAGAGAGAGAAGCUAUUUGAAGGGUCAAGCGAUAUUGGUAAACCAAGAAUGAGAACUCCGCAGGAAAUUCUAACAAAAUAUAAAUUUGGCGGGGUAAUUAAUGUCAUGAACAUUGCAAUCGGUCAUGGUUUGCCGUGUAUGGGAGCUAAAUGUAGAUCCAUUGCAGGAUGCGGCAGCAGCUGCGGCUCAUGCAAAGGAUAAGCUGAUGCAGAGGCAGGAGAAACUGGAGGUGAAUAGUUCGAUUUCAUUACAGUCGCUAUGUUGUUUCUUGCAGCCCUUAUUCAGAGCAAUUCUAUGAAGCUGUAUUUCGCUUUGUUUUUACAGAGAAUAAGCCAGCAAACCGCGGAGCUUCAGAACGGAGCAGAAAACUUUGCUUCCCUGGCGCAGGAGCUUGCGAAAACGAUGGAGAACAAGAAGUGGUGGAAGCUAUAAUCCAACAAAGAGAUAGUUCGUGUGUAUAUUAUUGGACAAACGCAAUUACUGUGUUGCACUUGCACGCCAUCAGUCAGGUGCUGUGUACAUUAGUAUCAUCACUUGUUUGCUACCUGUGGAGGUGCUUGAUUACCUUGGCAGCAGGUAUUGCAGAGGUUUCAUUGUUAUUAUUCGGUAGCUAGCUUAGGGACGUCGUGCUGAGUUGUAUACUAAUACCAGCAUCAGCAGCACGCAAUCUUAUGGUGUGCACUGUAUUAAGCAAAGGGUCAUUGUUUUGUUUGUUUUUACUGCUGUAAAGAAAAAAAGGAGCUUGUAAGGAACUGACUGCUAACAGUAUUGAUGGCUGCUCGAGGGAUCCAUCCAUGGGGGCACGAACUUGCAUGGGAAAUGCUUGCUUUGAGAGUACCUCGAGUACAACCAUGUAUCUGAUUCAUUUUGCUAGCCUGUUCGAUCUUGAGUUGCACUCAAAGCUGUACUCAAAUGGUUGUAUGCGUAGUGUAGCAAUACUUGCAGAAAUAGUGAGAAACAAGUCAAGUGAUUAUUUGGGCAAAAGGAACCUACAACAUAAUUAACUGCGAAGAACAAACCAACUAAGGCAGAAACUGUGUUAUCCGACAGUCCAUGCAUGGAUACAUCCAUCUCAUCUAGUACCGCUCCAGGAUAAGCAGUAGAAUACAAUGCCUGGCCAUGGCCGUGAGGCAUGUGUUACCAGCCGCUUAAGCGUAAUAACUAACAAACUACGACAUACAGUUGUUCAAUCAUUCAAGGACAGUAUCCUCUUGGUCACAGGAUCCAACCAGGUCAAAUAGAACAGUCCAAAAAACCUUCUAAUGAAUGGACGAUGCACUGCUGCCUUUACUGUCUAAUAGAUCUCAGGGGUCAGGACAUUAACAUAUUCUUAGCUAGUAACAUUGCAACCAAGGCAAUGCCAAUACCUUCAACUACUGCCGUCCUCAGAUAUACAGCCAAUUAUCUGUAAAUACAAGCGACAGGCAGAUGCAUAUAAAGCCCAUUACCUGCGUCUUAGAUCUCUCUGCAAAAGGAAAACGGAGGAACUGUAAGUUCGAGGCAUGGAACUUUUCCUGACAAAUAAUGUAUCACAGUUUGAAGAUACUGGGCUCAUAUAAAAUAUACUGACAGAAUAAGGAAUAUAAUAUAUAUAUAUAUAUAUAUAUAUAUAUAUAUAUAUAUAUAUAUAUAUAUAUAGUCUUCUUUCCACUUCAAACUGCUAUGUAUUAAGCUAGCAAAUUAUAGCGGGUAAGUAUUUUGUACCAAUUUUCUAUCAUCCAAUCAUUUUGUGCACAACAUCUUAGAUUCUUAAGAGUGCAUUUCUACUUCCUAGAAGCCACGAGCAAGCGGAAACCAAAUCUAAAAGUGAAGGCUUACUCUUGGACCACGGUCUGUAACUGGUGUUGGCCUGCUCCCUGUAUUAUCUGCUUGCUGAAUCAUCUGUGGACUAUCGUGCUUAUAGAAUGCCUGCAAAGUUCUCACCAUGAAAGGACGGACAAUGUUCACUUCCAUUGCAGACAGAUUUUUGAGCUGCGAGAAUGGAAGCAAGAUGUGUAAGGUACCGUUGGUGCCUGACCAAUGAAGCAAGCAGUUAAGCUAGUACGAAACACAGAUAGAUACAAGGAAAUGUAAAUCACAUCCAAUUCAAUAAUAACUUUAACAGAAUCCGAGGAACCAAGAAAGGCCGUUGAUUUAGAGUCUGUAAUUCUGAAGGAGGAAAAUUUACCUUUACAGCAUGAGUGCGUCCCGAUAUUGUCUCUAAUCCAUUCUCAACCUUGUGGAAUCUGACAUCUCUGAUGUCCUCAAUCAAAGAUCUCACCUGUGUCACGAUCACAACUAGGAGUGAGCAUUUUUUCAAUACGAUUAGGACUUGCUGGAUGCAGGAAACAAAUUUGUACCGAGACUGAUUAAACUCACCAAGUAUGCAUCUGAUAUGUCAUCACGAGCACUGCAGGAGAAAAAUGAGAGUGAAUCAGGUUUAGGUUCACAGUCUGUUUUAGCAUCAAGGAAUAUGGGGUGAGGCAGUGAUUACUGAUCAAACAGAAGCUUGGAAAUUUCAAUAUAGUGGAAUGGUAAUGGCUGGAAUUCUCGAGGGGACUCUCUUUCUGCUUCCAAUACCUGUGUCAAACGGUCUAGUAACAUAGAAGGGGGCGCGUUAGUAGAUACAGGGGUAAUACGCAACCACACAUGGAAUCAGUUACUGAUACGAUACUACUACUGAGGAAUGCUUUCACAGAGGGAGCAAUGCUUUUGCUUGAGCAGGAGGCGGGGUUAGAAGAAAGGCAAAGAAGCAACAUAAACAAGGAAGCACUGACCAACAGUCAUCCAGUUGGGGGUGCGGAUGGUGCACUUGCCACGCUUCUUGAGCGCGACAGCGAGCCAGAGCGGCACCUUGGUCGGAAUUUGAGGGAAGAAGGGCCCGAAGUCCCCCUGCACGGCAGCGGCAGCGGCAGUGUGAGAUGCACGUAGAAAUGGGGGAUCGACAGUGGAUAUGGGUGGUGGACAGAGACGACGCACGCAGAUCAUGUUGAGGGCUUCCAUGCGGAUGUUGGGGACGAUGUCGACGAUCUCAUCCUCCGCCGCGAACUCCACCUGCAGCAUAGAUUGAGGGAAUUCGGCAUCAUCCCUUCCCCUUCUUCUCUUUGAAGACAGCCAGAUAGGUGAAUACUAACUAGGUGGAAGGGGUUCGCUACCUCGGAGGGCGAGAAGAUGGAGAGGUGCGGGUCGGACUGCCCGGCCAUGAAGGGCGGGGCGGCGACGGUCGGUGGAGAGAGGAACACGGAGGCGCGGCGGCGUCGAGAUCCUGCUGCUGCUGCUGGAGUGCUGGUGGUGGUGGUGGCGGCCUGGUGGGCGGCGGGGCAGAAUGACCUCUCUUGGGCCGGCAGCCCAGCCCGAGGCAAAAAAGCCCAUCAACAGCAGCCCGGUUCGGUCCCCGCAGCUUCCUUCAAUCUCGAGAGGAGAAGAGAGGGCAGCAGCGGACGGCGGCGGGCUCUCAAACUGCUUGCCUGCUCGUCGCCGCCGGUCGGUCGGCCGGGGACAGCUACGUGCUUUCUAGGUUUCGAUCCCAUCAUCCAGCAGAAGCAGCAGCAGCAGUGGACGACGGGUUCCCGAUGCUGGCCGCCCGGAGCCCCUCUCCGAGCUUCCACGCGCACGACCGCCUUCCUCCGCCGGCACAUGACAUCGCGGAGCGCCUCCGCCACCUGCGCGACCUUCGCAGGGCGCCGCUCCCCAGCCGCCUCGCCCGCAUCGCCGACCUCCACACCGACGAGGCCAGCCCCGUGCGCAAGCAUGUCGCCGAGUGAGCUCCCCUUUUUCCUGCUCCAAUUUCACCAUCUCCACCUUAGAUUACCCGCAGUUUUCCUCGGCUUCUGAUGAAUGAUUGAAACUAAGGCACCACUUAGCUGCGCUUGCAGUGACUAUUGCUAGCGCAAGGUCUUGGCAGCAGGCGGAAUUAGGUUAAACAAACCAAUAUGAAAAGAAAAAUGCUUCUGACCUUGCAAACGCUCUCCUGCUGUAGGAUCAUUGGUGAGGUUGGGUCCAAACACAUGGCGUACCUACCCGAUAUCAUCCCUUGUUUGCUGCACCUUCUGAAUGAUGAGGUGCCUGCAGUCGUCAGGCAAGCUAUCAAAACAGGAACCGUGUUGUUUGCCCAACUACUUCAACACCUAGUUAUCCAGGUAGCUUUAUUUCCAGCACUUGCUCUUGGACCUGCCUUCCUGUGCAAAUUCCGUCUCAGCUUGCUCAUUUUUUGUUACAGGGAUUAUUCUCCACUGGAGGGAUUGAUGAUGCACUUAAAUUGUCAUGGGAACGGCUUCUCAAGUUCAAAUCCACCGUCUCGCUCAUGGCAUUUCAGGCGAGCCCCUCUCCUUUCCUUUCCAACCAAAUAACCCAAUCUUCCUGGCCUGCACCUAUCUCACAUUUUAAUCUGUCUGUCAGACCACCGGCAAUGAAGGUGUCCGGUUACUGGCUGUUAAGUUUGUUGAAAAAACAGUUCUUAUGUACACACCAGAUCCUAAUAUCCCAUCAGAUCCACCAAGCAAAGCUACAAAAGGUACACCUUAUGCUCUACUUCAUAUGGAAAUGAUAAUAUCUUCCAAGUUUAGCACCCGUUGGGUGCAUUCUAAUUUGGCCAUCUGUAAACCAUUUGUAGAUAUGGGAUUCAAUGUAGCAUGGUUACGAGGAGGUCACUCUUUGCUUAAUGUCGGAGAUCUAGCCAUGGAAGCCAGCCAGAACCUCGGAUUGUUGCUAGAGCAGCUCAAGUCUCCUAAAGUAAAAUCACUCAGUACUUCCAUGAUCAUUGUCUUCGUUACUAGGUUUAUCUCUUGUCCACUUGUGUUCCAUUAUCUUUUCUGUAUGUUACAGUUUGUACCAGCUGUGAGAAAAUAAGUCUCCUUUCGCUACCGUGUCAUCUAUUUGUUUCGUCUGUUGAAAAAUUGCAUGCUACGAUGAUCUUUAUCCAGCAUGAGUUUUCUCCUUUUUCUUCCCCCUGCUUUGUGCAUUAUUUUUAUAACUCUCCUAACAUAAACUUCUUCCAGUCUCUCAGCUAUUGCCCAAAGAAGGCCUUCCUUUUACGGACGCAUACUGCCAGUUUUACUCUCCUUGGACCCAGCAAGUUCCAUUAUUAAAUUGCGAGUCCCAGGUGCAUUCCAUGCUUUGAAGAGUGCCUUCUCUGCAUGCCUGAAAUGUACACAUUCAAGUGCUGAGCCGGUAUUUCUUUUAGCUUCAACCUUUCUAGAUACAUUUUUUCUACUGACUGUACAUUCGAGAUGUGUCCCUUUGCCCUUAUUUCAAUACGUGCUCAACAACUGGAGAUAACAGAUUUGCUAUGUAUGGAAGGCUGUGUUAUGUUUUGUAGACACACUCUCUAAUUAGGAUUUUUUUUCCUUCUAUCAAUUUUGAGCCAGUUUGGUGCUCAUUUGUUUCCUGGGCGCCGGUCAUCCUGCCCGUAUCAAUCAUCCUGGAUGGAUUUGACUGGUCUCUAGACCCUAGAGGUGCAAAUGUGUUUGAUUUCUUGUUCUCUUGGUGUGUGGUUGUUCGGUUAGUUGGGUUAGUUGUAACAGAUGCAGGAUGACUGGGUAUUUGUUUGAAUAGUUGAAAAUAUGUAUUAGACGUGGACCAGAGUGGCAAGAAGAAAACUAAACUAACUGACCCUUUUGUGUCAUUUCAGCCAUUGACAUGUAGGGAAAAAUAAACAAAACUUCCUUUAUGUUGGAUAUUUUCGUGUCCAUUAAUGGAACAUACUAAGUGGUGAUGGUGGUCAUUGCCCGGGUCUCGACAGAUAUGUACCAAAGUUGAGGUGAUGAGGUGGAGAGAAGGGGAACGUGUAGGAGGGGGAGGGGCUUGCUGGGGUAGGGCAAAGAGAUACUUAGGUACUUCCUUGGGACAUAUCUCUAUUCUUUACCAAUCUUGUCUAAUCUCCACUUGGGUUCAACAAAGCAACUAAUUGCUUCAGCAAACUCUCAAAAUCGACCAGCUUAAUCUUGCUGGCUGCACCGUGAGCUAUGCGGGUUGAUGUGGGUGCUGGUAUAGUACCAAUCCCACAUGGAAAAUGCGUAAAUGGAAUGCCCUCAGGAAGUUUCUUAUUAUUCUCUUUCUACCCCAUCUCUUCCCAUGCUAGACUAAUGGAUACCUAUUUCCAAGUAGAUCAAUUCAUUCCGAUGCUGCAUGCCAGCAUCAUAAAUUCAAAGCUUUGGGUGAGCUUACAGUUUGCUGGUUCACCGGUCGAACCAACAGUUCUUAAAAAAAUAAAUAAAUGAUUUUUAAGUAACACGCCCAUGGAAUUUAAGGUAAAAUGGAAUUGUUUUCGCAUUAUCAUCACAGAAGUAACUUAGCGCAGUUGGUUUGUGGGUUUUGAUGGGCUUACUAUGUGCUGCACUUGAGGUUGCGGGUUCGAUUCUCCCCGCUAGCACAAUAAAUUUUUCAUCAUUUUGUAGCAGCUCCCGCUGGUUUGGCCCAAUUCUGAACGGUUCACACUGGUCUAACUGCAUGGCUGAUCUUCCAGUUGAAUUGAACCUGUGAGGUAAUGAGUUCCUGGUUUUCCGGUUCAACCGGUGGACCCGGUCCAGUUUUUCAUACAAUGGUUUCAACUGUGAUCACAUCAGGGGUUUCUUAGAGAGAAAAUCAAUCAAAGGUUUGAGAGGCUAGUUUUUCAGCAUCAGCCAGAUACGAUUUGCACUUCAGUAUGUUGGUAAAAUAAAUCUGGCCCGGGCUUAGGGAGGGCAAAGGUGGGCUUGGGUAAUAUCAGCCACUCCGACAGACUUGAGUUAGCAGCAUGAUCCACAGAUUUGCGCAACUGCACAGAGAUGUGUACAGUAGGGGAUGCGAGAGAGGUGGUGUUAACACUCCAUGAAGUCCUGUACACCAUACAUCCUGAUGCGAACCUAGGCAUAUGUUACACUUGAUUCCCAUGUUUCACUGCUAUACCUAGAACUAUUUUUCUGAUUGAGACUCCUUGGUGUUAGUGAAUCAUUUGAGAACUCACCAUCCUCAACCAAAAUAUGUGCACUAACCCCAGUCUGUAUAAGCUGCAUGAAUGCAAUCAAUCAGCACCAUUUAGUCCAUCUUCGGAAUUAAUUGCUAAGUAUUUUAUGUCACCAUUGGUUUCUUUUGUUCAUGACAAUGUGUAUGAUAUAAAUAUUUGUGCUCCGUUUGUUUGAGAAAGUGUAUAUCCUUAUCCCAUGUAUUUGGUUUGAGAUACAUUCUAUACUAAUUCAAGGCUGUUAUUGUAUUUUCAGUGGCGAGCACGUCUAUUGGAAGCUCAAAAUAUUAUCAACCAGGACUCAAUAGAAGAUACUGCAAAUGCUGCUAAGAAUCUGGGGGACACAUCAAACAUGGAAGAAUCGUUGCCUCCGAUGGUAUGUACGUGCUCCUCGAAGCCUGUUCUCUCCCUCUCUCAUAACUAUUUCAAAAUGGCUAUAUUUCUUUGAUGUAGGAGAGAAGCAAUGACAGUAGUAACAAGCGUAGUUUGGGUGAGGACAUGAAUCAGAUGAUAGAAGAUGAUGGUCACUCCAAUAAAAGAGUCAGACAUGCACUUGAUGCUCAAGAACAUAGUGAAGAGGCAAACAAGAGAAAUGUUGAGUCAACCUCUGUUGAUAUCUCAUCUGGCCAGCCCAUCUCUAUAAGAACCGAGAAUUCAGAAGCUGUGUAUCAAUUAAUUGGUAUGUUUGCUGCACUAGCUGCACAAGGUGACAGAGCUGCUGGAUCACUGCAAAUCCUUUCAUCCAGUAUCGCUAGUGACUUAUUAGCGGAGGUUGUAAUGGUUAACAUGCAACAUAUCCCUAUGUCUCGUCCUGAAGUUGACCAACAACAGCUUCCUUCUACUAGCUCUGGAGAUGGAAUUCCAUUUCAAAGUUCCUUCCCUCUGUUGGCAUCUCUGCUGAAGGUUUUUUCUUUAUAUUUCAUCGUUUGAUCUGUUAGAUUCUCUUCUUUUUUGGUUUAUUGAUCUUUUGCAUUUCAGAAGGUGAAUCAAAUUGAUCAAGAUGAAGUGCCUCCAACUAAGGAAUCCGCAGUAGUGCCAUCUGUUGCAGAUGAUAUCAUGACAGUUCCUGCUAGUUCACCUGGUCCUAGUUCAGUAAAUCUUCCUAUGGAAGAGAACAGUAGCAGUCCAACUGUUCCAUUAUGUGUAGAAACAGCAGAGGUCAAAGUAACCAGUGCAGGUGCCAAUAGUUUGAUUGAUAUUCUAGAAUCAUCAGAAACCUCCCAUGCUUCGACAGAACCUCAGGGAACCCAAGAGCAUGCUAGCAGUUAUAUCAGUUCAUUGCAUGCUGAUAAUUCCUCAGCUGGCCUUAGUUUGGCACAAUCUUCAGAAACUCGCAGCCCAAGCUCUUCGACAGUGGAAGCAAACCACUCACAGCUUUCAUCUUUGAAUUCCCUUGGUUCACAAUAUGUUCUUCCGAAGUUGGUUGUCAAUAAUGUUGAUCUCAGUGAUGAGGCCAAAGAUCUGCUUCAAAAAGAGUCAUUUUUGCGGAUUCUUGAGAGUGAUAAGCAAGAAGGAUCUGGUGGUUCAAUUGCUCGCCUUCCGUUGCUUGCUCACUUGGGUGUUGAGGUAUACAUAUGGAUUUAUCAUCUCCAGUAGAAUUGAUACUUUUGGCUUGAGCUUCGGUUGGUGAUUUUCUGUAAAGCAUAGCUCCUCUCAGAAACAUGUGUUAGUUAUUAGAAUUUUUGCAUUUCUGAUUCUUAUCCCGCUUAUGUACUGUCUAAUCAUCUUAUAGUCAUGCACUCAUUAUCGCUUUACAUUGUUCUUUUAAUGUGUGUUACUUAUCGUUGCAGUUUCCUCUGGAAUUGGACCCUUGGGAAAUUCUCCAGAAGCAUGUGCUUUCUGAUUAUGCAAAUAAUGAGGUACCGAUGUACAACAUCAUAUGAUUAGUUGGUGGUCUUUAGUCCAUUUAGUACAAUUGGUAUAUAGUUUAUAUUUUCAAUAGAUUUGUUGGUGGCGUAUAUAUUGAGAAACUUAGAAAAAUGUGUCCUGUUUAGCUCCUGUAACUGAUUAGUAAUCAACUUUCUUCUGUAUGAAUCAAACUAGGAGUGGUUUGAUUGCAUAGCUGUUAAUUAGAAUGGACUGGUUAUUCCAUUAAGGAAUUUAGUCCUGCCUUUUGAUUUAUUUCUGUGGUUACUUUUAGUAGUCCAGUGUUCCACUCUCCUUGCUUCUUCAGAGUUUCCUGACUCAAGUUUUCUUUAAGCAGGGACACGAGUUGACUCUAUGCAUCUUGAACCGGUUAUAUCGUGAGGCCGAGCAGGAUCAAGAUUUUCUUUCAUCUAGAACUGCUACAUCAGUUUACGAAUCCUUUCUUCUGAGUGUAGUAUGUCUACUUAAAAUUGAUGCAACUUUGUCACAAAUGCUAUUUCUCUCGCAUCAUAGCUGUCCAUUUUCUGCUGCAUAGGCUGAAAAUCUUCGAGACAUGUUUCCGGCUUCAGAUAAGUCACUUGGCAAAUUGCUUUGUGAGAUACCAUACUUACCAGAAGGUGUGUUCAAACUGCUAGAAGGUUUAUGUUCUCCUGGAAGUAAUGAGAAGCAGGACAAGGAUAUUCAGAGUGGUGACAGGGUAACUCAAGGUCUCAGUGCUGUCUGGAACCUUAUCAUGUUAAGACCUUCAAAUCGGGACAGAUGUCUGGAGAUUGCUUUGCAGGUGCUUUUCUGAUGUCAGGAAAUUACUAUGUUUAUAUUUUUUAGUGAGCAAAUAUAUAUUUACAUGCAUAUGUGCCUUUUGAGUAAUUUUGAUUCCUUGGCAGCAAAAUUUCCUAAAAUGUCUGGAACAAUGCCAGUGACAACUUGAUGUAGUCUAUUUUGACUUCUCAUAUGGGGUAGAGCACAAGUCAGAGCCAAUUUAAACAUGAAUAUCAACUUUGACUUGUUUUCCAGUUCUUCAGUAGAUUAUUACAUACUGGAUUUUGUAUCUGCACAUUGCAUUAAAGCAAUCCAACAUGCUUGAGUAUUAUUCUGCUUGCUCUGAAAUGGGGCAAUCUCUGAACAGUUGAAUAUUCAAUUACUAAUGGAUAAAACCUUGAAUCUUGUUAUCGUUCAAAGUUCAUUUUUAAUAUUUCAUGAUUCGUAUAACCUUUAGUGCCUUUUUUAUGUUGGCCCAAAAUGAUCUUUUCCAUUAACCACACAUAGAUAGCAGUUUGGGGGGGGGGGGGGGGGGGUUACAUAUAGAGAUAAGGCAGGGGUAAUUUAGGAAUAAGUAGGUACUACAUAGAUAGAUAAGGUGCAUAUGCACCACCAACUACACCCAACACACACAUGACUUAUGUUAUCAUUUUAUACGUUACUUACUAAAGUGUUUCGUGCAGAGUUCAACUCAUCAUCUAGAGGAGGUCCGCAUGAAGGCAAUACGUUUGGUAAUUGCAAAUCCUGCCUGCUUCUAAGAAAUCUGCACUUCCAUGGUUUGCUCACCUUUUUAUUUUACAUCUGAUAAACAGGUAGCAAAUAAGUUAUUUCCCAUGGCAAGCAUUUCCAAAAAGAUUGAAGAUUUUGCAAAUGAAAAACUUAAUUCAGUUCUAGAAGUGAUUCCUUCUGGUGAUUCUGCAGCUACUGAAAUGGCUACUUCUGAAGCACACAAUGUUUGUCUCAUGCUCUCAUUUCUUUCAUAUAUUUUUGUGCUGUAUAUUCUGACUGAUUGCAUUUUUGCUGAUUUGUUGUACUUAUAUUUUCUGAAGGAUGGUGGUUUAGAAAAUUUAUCAGCUUCAAUGGCAAAUGCUCAAACUCUGAUGUCGCUGUAUUUUGCAUUGUGCACCAAGGUCAGUGGUUACUGUUUAGCAACUAUUUUAGUCUAGUUAUAUGAUAUCUGCUAACAGCAAGCAAAAUAUAUUUUUUCUUACCAGAAACAUUCCCUUCUCAGACAUGUAUUUGCAAUAUAUGGUAGCCUACCGCAAGCUGCCAAGCAGGUCCUUACACCUAUUAUUCUCUUCCAAAUAUUCUUUUCCCUUUUGUUCUAGCAGCAAAUAUAUAUCUACCAUGUAAUUGUAUUUCUUCCAGGCAGUUCACCGACAAGUACCAAUUCUGAUACGCACAAUAGGCUCCUCUCCUGAUCUUCUUGGGAUCAUCUCAGAUCCACCAGGUGACAGCCGGGACCUCCUCAUGCAGGUGCAAGUUGUUCUUUGGACUUCUGUUUUCCUUUUUAAGAUAUUUUCUCUUCUAUUUAUCAAAAUUCAGUGACAAGAUACAUGCAAAAGAGGGUUUAUGUUUUAUAAGACUAUCUUCUUGUAUUGGGUGAAUUUCUAUAACCCAUGGUAUUGCACCCUGCAGGUCUUACAAACCCUCACUGAUGCUGCUGUGCCAUCCAAAGAACUGAUUUCUUCCAUAAAGAACUUAUAUUCUAAAACAAAGGUCGUUGCUUGCUUUAAGAAAGCGCAGAGUUCUUACCUACUUUUUUACAAGAUCAGAGUUAGCUUGGAUAUUCUCAGUUUCUAAAAUGUCAGCCUCAUUUUGCAGGAUGUUGAGGUCCUUUUUGCAAUCUUGGCUCAUCUGCCAAAAGAUGAGGUUUUCUCCCCCUCCCACUACAUACCAAAUACUAGUUAGCAUUAUCGUAUUGUGCGCCUAGCCAGUGGCUUAUAAUUUGGAAUCUUCUGCAGUCACUUAUUGCCUAUAGUACCGCCAAUUAUUUGCACUUACACAUGCCUGUUAAACUGCUCACAUAUUAUUCUAUUGAAAUUGUCACCCUAGUGUAAGUGUACUGCCUUUCAAUUGAUUGACAAAACACCAUGGUACCAGGCCAGUGGCCUGGGUGUGGUAUUUUUCUCCAAACCAGUGUUAUGAACCAGUGUUUUACGGGAGUAACUCUAUACUUUAUGCAUUAUUGUUGGGAAACAUCUAUGGAUCUGACCCUAUUGUCCAACUCCAACCGCCGUACGAUUCUGUGCACAGCUGAGGAAAACUACUGCUCCCUAGUCCCCUCAGGGAGAGCAAUGGCUCCCCCUGAUUUGCUGCCUGAUGAGCGUCGUACGGCAGCUGGGCGAUACAGAUGUAUAGCAGCAUUCUUGUUGUUGAGAUGUUUGUAUUUGUUAUGUUCAUUAUAAUUCUUUGCUCCCAGGUCCUGCCGGUGUUCCCCAGCAUAGUUAAUCUUCCUAUGGACAAGUUUCAAACAGCCCUUUCACGAAUCUUGCAGGUUAGUUUUUAUCCUUGUAUGACAGUAUAUGUUUGUUUGAGUCAAAGUGUGACUUGAAAAUAAAGCACUAGCUUGAGACUUGAGUUCAGUCCUGGCCAUGUAGGCUGAGACGAAUGGAACUUCACAAGUGUAUUAUUGUCCUGGUAAAUAUUUAUUGUUAAAGAACAAGUUGCUGUCACCUCUUUACGACUUUGAACUUUUCAAGUAACUUAGAUUUGGAUCUACUUUACCUAUUCAUUUCAGUUUAGCAUUGCAUACUAAUCACACAGCAUCACUUUUUACUUGUCACAGGGAUCAUCUCGGAAUGGCCCUUCUCUUGAUCCAUCAGAAAUUUUAAUUGCAAUUCAUGUAAUAGAUCCUGAUAAGGAAGGAAUACCACUAAAAAAGGUCUGUUAGUUUCUCGCUUUGUUUUAGAAUGAGGUCUUUGAACCAUUUGGCAACCUAAUUAAUCAACUGAAGGAUUCAUAGGUUAUGGAUGCAUGCUCUUCUUGCUUCGAGCAAAGAACAAUAUUCACUCAGCAAGUUUUGGCGAAAACAUUAAACCAACUGGUGGGCCUGAUUUCUGUUUCAGAGUAUCUGCCUUAUGAUAUGAUGUAGUCGUUGAUCUAGGUAAACUUUUCCACAGGUUGAACAGAUUCCUCUUCCUUUGCUAUUCAUGAGGACCGUCAUGCAAGCAAUAGGUGUUUUUCCUGCAUUGGUGAGUUAGCUCCUAACCCACAUUAUGUGAACUAUGGCAAUGGCCCAAUAUUUGGUGCUGUGAAAUGGAUGGCAUGAUCUUUGUAUAUAGCCUAGUUGUGAAAGAGAUUUGUAGAUGUGACCAGGAUGGUGUUAUCAUCACAUUCGUUAGGCGCAUUCUCCAGAAGCAAGAGUAGUUCAUUGAUUGUUCUUGAUUUUGGUGAAUGGUGAAUGCACCAGAUUCUAUUGAAAAACCUACAUCAAUAGCUUUUUUAUUGUAGCUAGAUGGGGAUAAGCAAGAAAGACACACCCAUAUUUACAACCUGCUAGCCAUGUGUACUCCUUCCUGUCUAAAAGGGAGAUGAAUGGUUGAGGCGAUCAAGGAUCCGGGAAUGAAAUCCUGCCAGAACAAAUUGGCUAAUGUGAAUCUUAUUGCCUUCAUCCUGUGGAAAUCUAGUGCUUGCAUCUUAUAAUCAUGAAAAGUUGUUAAUAUUUUAGUCUCUUGGAGGAUCACCUCUCAUUUAUAGUAGAUUUGAUGUUGAGGACUUUAUAAUCUAAUGGUGAACCUUCCUAACAGGUGGAUUUUGUGAUGGAGAUCAUGUCACGCCUUGUGAGCAAGCAGGUCCUUAAUUGUUUUUCUUUUUUUAGUUGAAGAUGACUUUAGCUGCUGUUCUUUUCUACAUAUUUAUGAAACUGGACUCCAUCACUUGCCAUGGCAGAUUUGGAAAUAUCCUAAGUUAUGGGUAGGAUUUCUGAAGUGUGCUAUCUUGACGAAACCUCAGUCAUAUGGCGUGUUACUGCAGGUUGGCGCACAUCUUCAUCUCUUAUAUAAUCUGUGUUCUUGUAUGCAUUAUGCUCGAUCCUCAUCUAGGAGUUAUUUUACACUGCAUAUGCUAAUUUCUUAGUAGGAUCAAGGGUCCAUGGACAAAUGAGUUUUGUAUCCAUUUCCUUUUAUCUAAUCAUGUAUCAAUAUUUCCCAUGACAUGGCAUAUGUUUAUUCAGUUACCAGCUCCUCAACUUGAGAAUUCCUUGAGUAAGAAUCCCACACUGAAGGCACCCUUGGUUGAGCACGCCGAGCAGCCAAAUGUCCGAUCAACUCUUCCAAGGUUUUCUUUGUUCGCUCUUAUCAAUAUCAAGUGGUAGGUAUGCAUCUAAUAUGUGGCGCUGGAUAUGCUAUGAGAAUCUGCUUUUAUGGGCAGGUCUACUUUGGUGGUUCUGGGUCUUGCUGAAGAUCAACAACCACCCCCGCCAGCAGUAAGUCAAGCGCAGAGCAGCCAAAACCAGGCUGCGGAAACCAGUAGCUCUGCUGCAGAUACGACUACAGAAGUAACUCAGGAGUCUUCUGCUGCUAGUUAGCAUCGGCCUUGGUAAAUCUAUCGUUGAUUCAGUGUCUUGUAGCAUCUCAUAUCUGGAGUGGUCCUUCUGACUGCUGAAGACCUAAAGGGGAGGAUGAAGACGAGACCCAUAGCGGAAUCUGACAAGACCUAGUUUUUUUUUAUUUAGUUGAUGGAUAAUUUUAAUGACCGUGUAAAGCAAAGGGGUGAACGUUACAUUGCCUUUGAUAGGGAAAGGAUUUGUGCUGCUAGUCGAUCUAUAUUACGCAGCCAGUGAGUCGAAUACUUCAACAUUUCAUGUCCCAUUCUAGUAUACUAUCCUGCUUUUCUAUCAAUGUCUGAGCCACACUUACAUUGCAUACAUGCCUGAACGGCCAAGAAUCACUGCUCUUCUGUGUCUGAACUCUGAACCACCUUGCGGGGUGUACAUUGUGCAAGUGAUUUCCUUUUACUGGAUUCCCAUGGGAUCAAGGAUCAAUGCAAUAGGUAUUAGUGAUCGAUCAGCGUCCUGGAUUCAGAACAACCAUACAAUCCAAUUCCAAUUCCAAUCUAUGUACAAAGAAACGAUGAGAGAGCACACUCAACUCCCAGAAUCACUUAUGCAUAUUCACACAAAUUAAACAUAUAAUGCAAACAGAAAGGGCGUCGGCACUCAGACUAGACAAACUCGAAGCGCAUGAGAAGCUUCACGUGGUUGUACUGGUUUCCCUUGCGGUCGAAGAGCGCCACCGCCCGGAUCCCCGGCCGCAGCUCCGACACCGGCAGCACCGUCUGCCCUCCGAAGUCGUCCUUCUCCGACAUGUCGUACUCGUGCACCUCCACCCGUAGCAGAGCGAUCUCCGGGACGGUCAGGGGGAAGGUGAACUCCUCCUCCCAUACUGGCACCCAGUUAUCCUCGAUCGCCCUGGUCUUCUUCAUCAUCGAGUCUGCUGGGACUCCAGCUAUGCCAACCUACCAUACCAUACCAGUGGACGAGUUCUAAGCUGUUGCCCAAUUGAACCUGAGUUAAUUCUAUAUGCAUACAUACCCGCGCAUAGAAAUCUGGAGGAGAAUACUGAUCAAAGUGUGUCUGCUUAAAGUCCAUCCGCCACCCAUCACCCAGGUACACCUUGACCUUCAAGGUUUUCUUCACAGGUUGGCGUUCCCUUGGGUCAAACACUUCUGGUUCUGUCUGCAUCAAGAAAUCUGGUUUCUUCACAUAACCACACCCACCAUUGGCUUUAUAAAAUCCAUGCAUUAGCCAAAGGGCUCUUCCGUAUCCCUGAAGAAAGAAAAUCGGAUUGUUGUUACGACAAGUGUAAGCAGCCUCUCGAACUUGGAUUAACAGCUCAGAAGGAGAAAAUAUACCUGCAUAUUGAAGGCCACCAUUUGAGCACCAUGCACCCAACCAAGAAAUGGGUUGUAGUUGGAUGAAGUAACACGAGUUCCCUUGGGGUAUAUCCUCAAUAUGUUUCUCUGUGUGAACCUAUUUAGUAACACGAGUUCAGUGCAUGCAGGAAUAUGGUAUCUUGAUCUCUCCCUCUUUCUACCGCCGCUGUUAAAAUACAAAGAGGGGAAGGUGCUAGUAAGAGUAGUUAUUUUAUGCAUACCUCACAAUUUCAGUUCCAUGAUCCUCUGCCAGUUUGGCAAGUUGUUGCUCGCUCAAACUGAGACGCCUAACUUUAUCUGGAUCACUCUUCAAGGCAUCAGCCAGAGAGCCUUUUGGCUUCCCUGCUCUAAUAGUAAUAAGCUGUUUAUACUGUGGAGCUGAAUGAGGAUGCAUUAUCUGUUCCUCGUCGUCAUCAUCGUCGUCGUCCUCUUCGUCAUCUCUUUGGUGAUCUGAGCCAUCAUCAUCAUGCUGCUAGAGGGAACCACAGUUGUCUGUAGGUGAAAUCUCGCACAACUGAUUGAUUGCAUAGUGCGAAGGAAAGGAAGGCGAUAGAAUAGACAAUACCUUAUUAGCAGACUGAAUCUCAGUCUGAAAAUCCGGUACUUCUUUUCCCCACGCGGCAUCAUCAGCAGCUCCUUUGCCAGGAUGUGGGUCAGCGUCACCCUCUUUCAUGGUGCCAACCUUGGCUUCAAGGUACUCCUUGGGGGGCUUGGUGGAGAGGAGGACGCGGCCCUUGAGCUCUUCAGGUGAUGGGAAUUCUUUGAAAUGAUCGGUUCCGGGGUAGAAGAGUAUGUCGCCAAAUACUUCAAGGACCAUCUAAUAAUAAUUAACAGGGUUGGUUUCCAAAAGGCACAUGUUAAGUUAGAGAAGCGCAACAAGCAGUCAGGGAAGACGCAACACAAUUGGGUACCUCGGCAACUUUUGCCUGGAGGUCAGCCGGAAGGUGGUCUUCGAGCGUUAUGAUGACAGGAUAGGGGGACGCCACAAAGGCAUAUUCUUUGAUGGACCGCAGGCAUUUGAUGAGUGAAACUGGGGUGGUCAAUGUCCUAUAUUGUUAUAUAUGUGUGUAGAAGGGAGAGGAAAAGUGUAAGUUAGCAUAAGCAUUAUUCUGUUGAAACAAGAACAACAACUUGCAUUGUUAGCAGCAAGAGCAUCGUCGUCAAGAGUAACAAUGUGGAUAGCUAGGUAGAUAAAAUAAAAGGCCACAUGCCUGCCGUGUAGGAUGUUGAUGUCGUCCUUUGCUGAAUUUGGCCACAUGUCGAGCUCUAUGACCCUCACCCCCCUCUGCAGCGCCUUGAUGAUGGGGACGUCGCUGCAGUCGCUGCUGAGCUGGUUGCCGGUGAGGUAGGAGUUGUGGCCCGUGUAGAUGAAGUAGUGGGAGAGCGGGUGGGACAUGUCGUGGUGCACCUGCGGGCGUCGGAUGGGCGGGUUGAGGUCGUGGGAGAAGAGGUAGCGGUGGAAGUCGUCGAGCGCGAGCAGCGGGCGGGAGAGGCGGGGGAGGCGGGCGCGGCCCUGCUGCUGCUGGAUACGGAUCUGGUCGAGCAGGCGGUCGACCUCGCCGUCGUCCAGCGCGUCCUCCGUGGCGUCGAGGUAGCGGCGCAGGCCGUCGGCGCCCAUGUGGGUCCCGCCGCCGGAGUGGAGGUUGAAGAGGGCGCGGACAUCGUCGGGCGGGGCGGCGUCCCGGGACUGGAAGCGGCGCUUGAAGAUGAGGCAGCACUUGUAGGUGGUGCCCAUGAUUGCGUGCCUGCAGCUUUCCUUGUUCUUGACUUGAUGGGGGAGGAGGCCUGGAGCCUGGGAGGAGAGGGAGACGAGACAAGAAGCGGGGGAGGGGAAGGGAAGGGAAGGGGACGGGAGGGGACGCGUCUGACUCAGCGCUAUAAGGAGUAGUAACUACCAAACCGUCCUUUUCCCCUCCUCUUUCUUUAUUUUCUCUUCAAAGCUUCCUUUUUCUUUACCAUUUUGAGUCUGCACAAAUCCACAAUGCACUUGUGUUGUUCUACUACUUGUGUUUUUGUGCUGAUUAUAUAUAUUAAAAAGGAGACAGAUACAAGUCAGUUUCUAAAUAAGAAAUCACUUGGAUGGACAGGACAAGUGCUUGACAAAAAGAAAAGCAAAAACCAUGCAAAAGCUAGGAUGGAGGGAGGGCAAGAAAAGAAGAGGUACGUUGCCUUGAUGCGACUCAGUUGUCCGUCGACAUCAUAAUGAAUAAUAUGCAUCACCAUCCAAAGGAAGGCACCAGCAGCAUCCAUUAGCUGCUUCAAUUCCGCUUGCCCUGGCCCAACCAACCAUAUAUUGCAAAUCUGGAACCGAAAUCAUUUCCAACAUGCAUGAUAUAUAUAAGCAUAACCAAUUUGAAGUAAUUUAUAUCCUCACCUUUUAUUUUCGCUUAUGUAUGUAUAUAGUCUAUUUAUUAAUUUGUAGGAGAAUGGCCAGCAAAAACGACUGAGCAUGCAACUAUUCGAGACACCUAUUAUAUUCAAACAAUGUAGUAGUAGCCUAGAAAAGCAAAAAACGACAUACAUUUUGCAUUUUGGAAUGGAACGGAGGGAGUACACGUAUUCCAUCCAACAUAUUUAUAAAAAUCAUGCAUAUAUAUUGCAGGGUACAUCAUUAUUAAUUAAUACAGUAGCGUGUAAUUAUGCAGGUUUUUUUUAAUUAUCUUCCUUGAUGAUUGAUCGAGCUCGCUGCUAGCUCGUAUAUGUGGAUCUAGCUAGGGAACUACUUAAUAAUAAGCUGCCAUAGUUUGCAGUGGCCGGUGAUGCAUGCAUAUAUCUGAAAGAAGGAUAUGAUGAUGCAUGCUAGAGCAGCAGCGUAGUGUCGACGAGACGCCAUGCCAUGAUCGUCGGUGAUGAACAGCCAGCAGGGAUGACGGGCGUCGUUUCGUUGUAGUCCUCGACCAGCAAGCGUUGCACAAACUUGAUGGAGUCCUGCGAUUGGUCGGGCUCCGAGGUAGGGAAGCGGUCCCACCUGGCAGGGUCCCAGAGAAGGUGGCUGGCGAAGGCGAAGCCGUGGACGGAGUCCGACGUGCUGCUGGUGGAAGAGGAGAACCAGGCGGCGGUGGUGGUGUUGCGGACGCAGACGGGCCCUUCCACGGCCACCCUCCUCUGCUGCUGCCACACUGUGGCCACGGCCCACGCACCCAGAGUCCUGCGAUGCGAUGCCCAAUCAUUCAUACAUCCAUUAUUGCCCGGCCAUAGUAGAUCUAUCCUGGUCCAUGCUGCUCUGCCGACACACCACCGACAAUUCAUCCAACAGUAAGCUAGGCAGCAGGGUUUGUACCUUAUGUGGCGGAGGUUCUCGAGGAGGCGUAUGUCGUAGACGUCGGCGAGCCCCGCGAAGAUCACGACGCCGCGCAGGCGGUGCUGCUCGAUGUGGGCCAGCGCGACGUUCCGCUGGUGGUGGCGCUCCUCCUCCCAGGCGUCGUCGGAGUCGGAGGAGGUGAAGUUGUCGGCGUAGGUGAGGUGGCGGUAGAGCACCCCCGUGCGCCGGAGCAGGGCCGCCGUGGGAGCCGCCUCCCGCGCGGCCUCCACCACCAGCCACACCACGGGGGGAGACGCCAGCCGGAGCGCGUGCGCCGUGCGCGUCAGACCCGCCGACCGACGCUCGCGAUCCGACGACGAAAAGCCCGCCGUCGUCGUGAUGACGAUGACAACCACCUGCACCUGGCGCUGCUCCUGCUCCUGCCCCUGCUGCUGCUGCUGAGGCGGCUGCUGGUAGAGCAGCUGGUAGUGCGUCGUGAGCAGCGCCUCCGUGUGGUUCAUGGCGCGGGCCGCCCUCGAGAGUAGGUUCGUGUUGGCGUCGGCGGCGGCGCGGGAGGCGGCGUCGGCCCAGUCGGAAGGGGCGAGGCCGGUCACCAGGCCCACCAGGAAGCACGCGCAGGAAUGCAGCAUCGCGCGCCGCAGCACCAGCGGCCGCUGCUUCUUUUUGAUCUGCUUGCAAGUCGUCGGAUUGUGCUUCGGCGACGCCAUGGCGGAGCUAGUGUGCCAGUGGAAGUGGACUGAUAAAAUGAGGAUCGGCCGGGAUGGGGAUGUGUAUGCAUGACGACGACAGGUCGUCCUCGUUUCAUUGAUGGCAAACUGUACACGCACAUGCAUCGCUGCUCGACUGGGCCAGUCAGUCAUGAUUGGAUUGCAUUUGGCCCGUAUAACUGAACUGGGCUGCGUUCGUCCGUCGGCCUCGGCCCGUUUCAGCGCGCUCUCUCUCCCCAUCUCUCUCGCUCGUCUCGGCGGCGGCGGGCGGUGUCGCCUCCCCACUCUCCAGGCCAGGCCAGGCUCCACUCCCCACUCCUCCACACCCAUCCCAUUCCAUUCCAUCCCCAAAUCGAGCCGAGCAAACCCUAACCCUACCGCUAGCCACCAUGUCCGGCGCCCACAUCGACCUCAACAACAACGCCUCCUCCGACCUGGCUCCUCCGCCCAAGCGCGGCCGCGGCCGCCCCCGCAAGAAUCCCCCGGCCCCCGCCCGCCCGCGCCCUCCGGAUCCCGACGCCCCCAGGGUCGGCGGCUUCGCGCCGGGCGACAUGGUCUGGGGCAAGAAGCUCAACCACGCAGCCUGGCCCGGCCUCGUCUACUCCGCCGGCGGCAACGGCACCGGCCACGACGGCCAGCUCCUCGUCUCCUACUUCGGGGACAAGGCCUUCGCCUGGUGCGACGCCGCCGAGCUCAGGCCCUACGAGCCCUACUUCCCCGUCGCCGAGCUCUACGACGACGGCGGCGACGACUUCGACGCAGCCGUCGAGGCCUCCCUCGACGAGUUCUCCCUCCGCGUCGAGGCCGCCCUCGCCACCCCCGCCCGCCCCUUCGUCCCCGCCGAUUUCCUCGCCUCGCUCCACGACCUCGCAGCCGACCGCAUGGGCUUCACCAACAGGGUGCAGGCGGCCAUCGCCAAGGCGCAUCUCAGAGCAUUCGACGCCUUCAGGGCGCUGCCGGACCCUCCUCACUACACCUUGGAACUCGGCCUGCUCCCCCUCACUCCUAUCCAUCCUCCUCCUAAAUCCACCACCACCACCACCAGGGAUGAGGCCCCCUCCAGCAGGAGGGGCAGGAAGAGGAAGGAGGAAGCCGUCAAGGAGGACGACUCCGACGAGGACUGGGACCCUAGGAAGAAGGGGGCCACCGACUCCGAAUCAGACCUCGACAUCGACCGCAAGAGGGGCUCCAGGGGCAGGGGCAGUGGUGCGCCGCGCGGGAGGCCUCGAGGGAGGCCUAGGAAAACUGAUGCCUGCAGGGACACGCGGCUCAAGGAUGAGGAGAUGGAGGACAAACUGGAGUAUCCGUCAGCCGCUGACAUGCUGCUGCAACUCUUGUCGGUUGCUGCUGAUCCUGUCAACGCCAGUUACGACUCUGUUCCUCUCAUUGUUAGCUUCUUCUCAAAGCACAAGGACAACGAAGCGCCGAGCGUUUACCAAGAUAAAGAGCUGCUCGACACUUUCGGUUGCAAGAAGGGUAGGAAAAAGUCGGCUGGGAGCUUGGGCCCAGCUACAAAGGCAGAAGCCGACAACGAUAACGAACUGAUGGCUGCGGAUGGUCAGAGGGGCCGGAGAAAGUCCGCGGGGAGCUUGUACUCAGCUAGGAAGGCAGAAGAUUCGUAUUGGUGUGAUAUCAUCAUCAGCGAUUUCGAUGACGGAGAUAGUGAUUAUGAAGGUCGCAAAAGGAAGCGGCCCUCCCAGAACACCAACAGGAGUGCCAAUAAGAAGAUGAAGCAGGAGGAGACACCUCAGGAUCGGGCCUCUGCAGAUCCUCCCGCAGAUGCAAAAAGUCCGGCUUCUGCAGAUCCUUCUGCAGAUGGCCCAGCAGCCUUGAUUUUACAUUUUAGUAGUCCAGAAGCUAUUCCUUCUGUGGAUGACAUCAACAGCAUAUUCCGCAUACAUGGACCUAUCGUGGAGGGUGAGACUGAGAUCACUAAGAAGUCCAAGAUUGCAAAAGUAGUUUUCUCUAAGCGUGCUGACGCAGAGCGGGCAUUUAGCAGUCCGGGAAAGUAUAGCGCAUUUGGCCCAUCGCUUGUCACAUAUGAAAUUCAAUGCAUGCCAUCUGCGCCUCAGGUUUCUUAAGUGCUGCAGUCUGAACUUGAUAUGUUGCGAUUUCAGAGGUACAUGUUGUUUGACCGAUGCCAACUUUAUUUCCUGAUUCAUUUGCUUAUCGAAUUCUCAUAUGGUGAAUUCAGGAAAUGCACCAUGAAGGUUGGAGCAAUGGAGCAUUAAUUGGUGUCCAUGACUUAGAGUUAGGAUCGCUCACUGACCAGGUCACAUUAGUCACUGAGUUGGCUGAGCAAGUUUUAGGCUUUCUGCUGUUGCAUGCGUCCAGGUGACUGGUUGUGUGCUUGGUAUCGGAGUUAAUAGUUUAUGUUAAAUCAUUAGAUGGUAGAGUAAAUCAUGUAGCGUGAUGCGCCUCCUUCUAUGUUAGCACCUUAUCCUUUUUGUAUUGCCUAGUAAUUGCACAGCUGUGGAUCUCUCUAUUAUGUUGUUUUUCAGCAUAUGCUUCCUUUUCUGGCUCUUAAUCGCUUUAAUCCCCAUAGAGUAUUGUGCGUUAUGUGCCUUAGUAGCAGCUACUUAUUGAUUGUGCAAGGCUAGUUAAGUAGCUCUUGAGUUUCCAUGAUGAGCGAGCUGAAGCAUAUCUGAUAUGUUACUAUGCAAGUGCAUAUGCACAAUGGAUACGGGUGGGAGUGCACACGCUUAAAAGAGGCACUAUUCAGGGGCGUGCUUCUUUUUUAAGAUAAGUGUUCUUGUUGUGCUGCCAUUGAGCGUUGUGAAGCCACAGGUCCGAUUUACCAAUUUAAUGUAUAUGCUUGAUUUAUUGAAUGUGUCUGUCUUAUGGGUCAACUGCUUGCUGUGCAUUGCCAUUCUGCAAGUUAGCAAGAAGGUGACUUUGUUUAUGUACGUCAGUUUGCUGCAUUCUGCAAGGAAUUUGGACACGUACAGGAAGGUGAAGUCAGGCCUACAGCAGUGUGACCAACCAUGCUUUUGAUGCGUGUUGUGUUGCGACGUUGUUUGACGUUCAUUUUUAUCUCGAGAUUGUUGUGCAAAUGUAAACAUCCUGACAAUUACUGCAUCGUAUUUAUGCAUGGAUGAAAUUGGCGCGCGUAUUGCACUGUUUGGAGCAGAUAGAGGAGAAAAGGAAAAGGGGGGCUUUACUAUACGGGAACCACAACACGUAAUAAAGAAUGAAUCACUAUAUUUCUUUUCUUUUGUUUUUCUGUGGAUCACACCAUACCAUUGGCGUUUCAAAAAAAAAAAAAAGAACACAGGUAUUAUUGGCACUAGCUGAUCCAUGAAAGAUGAGCUGCCGGUUUCAUUGCUUGCUGCGCUUCUUAGCUUCACUGUAAAGAACCACCCCUAUGACAGUGAGCGUGUAGCCCAGCAUCCCAGUUACAGACACGGGGUUCUUGAAGAUGAGGAUGGAGAUCACAACUGCAACGGCACCUUUUGCGUUGCCCAGGACCUGCAGCCGGAUUAUAUCAUGCUCUCAGCAUCAGCAUUGCAUGCAUUUCCUUCCUAACCAAUAAACCAACUGAAUAGAAGGAAGGACGAAUCCACAUACCUGCAGGGUUAACGCGCUUGUGUGCUUUGUCACCAGGAAGUUGGUCAGAUUCACGAAGUAGGCCAAGGAAGAGUUGAAGAGCAGGUACCAGAUGAUGUUGAAGUCCUUCUUGGCCAGUUCCAUGGUGACGGCAACGACAUUAUCCUCCAUGAAGAUGGUUGCAGGGACCAGGAGAAUAACAGCGAUUGGCGCCAUGUACAUGAGCAGGUUCAUGGAGUUGAUCUUCUCCCUGCGAGUUGGGUUGCUUCUUCAGUACAGCAUGCAAGUUGGGAACAUAGAUAGCUGGUGGUGUGGUGGAUUGCCUACCCGUCGGAAGACAUGAGAAUCCCUUGCAGGACUGUCUUCAGUGCCCUUGCGGCGGUUGCUCCAACGCACAUGAUGAACCCAAACAGAUUGAAGCUGGGCUCUCCCUGCAAUCACAAGGAUGACCAGGUCAUUCGACUCAGGAUCGGACUCAGCUUUAGAGAUGAUGAAUGAUGAUCAGAGCUGCACGAUUCUAUUACAUCAGUUGCAAGCAUGUGUGUAUGAUGGCAUUGGCAGGCAGAAUGGUUUCCUCAUAUUGUCCAUCCAACAAGGCAAUGCGAUCAAAGUGAUGUGAGAAUUGCACGAUUCAGGUCAAUCUUUUUUGAGAAUUGAAAAUCAAGCACAGAUCCGGGAAUUGGGGAUCUCAUCUCGUGUAAUAAUUUGAUUGAUUGAAUGAAUGCCAACUUACGCCGCUGGCGAUGAUGACUCCGGUGACGACGGGCACGAGCGCGAGGUAGGUGAGCAAGGACUCGCGCUUGACGGUGAUGAGGUAGGCGAAGACGGCGGUGAAGAAGGGGGUGGUGGCGCCGACGGCCUGGUUGAAGGAGACGGGGAGGUAGCGGAGGGAGAUGUUGCCGGAGACGACGGAGGCGCAGAAGACGAGGCUGAGCGCGGCGAUCUUGGCGAGCUGGAGGCGGGAGCGCGGGAGCUGCAUGGGGACGAGGCGGAGCCAGGCGAUGGCGGCGUAGGAGAAGAGGGAGCAGGCGCCCAUGUGGCACAUGGUCAGGAAGAUGGGGUACUUGAACCCGUAGUUGCUCAGCAGGUACUUGUUCAGCAGCAGCACCCCGAUGUUGGAGGAGUACCACGCCGUGACGAGGCCCACCGUGAAGAGCCGGCCCUUGCCGCCGUCCUUGCCACCGCCGGUCAUCCUCGACCCUGCUUUAUCAGAUCCGGGGGUUCGGUUCGGCACUUGGGCCCUGCUGUUGUUUUUCAGAUUGUUCGCCGGGCGGGCGGGGGAAGAAGAAGAAGAGAGGCCGGACCCGGGACGGAGGAGGGAGAAGAGAGCCAGGGAGGAGGAAGGUGGAGGAGAGAGAAAGCAAAGGGCUGGCCCUUCUCGCCGUCUCCCUUUAUUUUCUUCUGUUUAUUUAUUUAUUUAUUACUGUUAUUACUUAGUAUAGUAUUAUUCUUUCGAUUUUAUUAAUGCUGUCUAUGGAUGGAUGGAUGAGAAAUCAUCCAUAGACCAUAGAGAUGGAUCCAUCCAUCCAUCAUCUGAAAGCUUCUUUGCGUGGAAGUGGGUGCACAAAACCUGCACUGCACGAGUUCCGUGGCAACCCAAAGAAUGAAACCUUUUUAUCUGUUGCCCAAGCGACAGCUAUUAAGGGACGGAGGGAGUACUUUCUGUCAAAAGGUGACAAUAUAACAUGAUUAACAAUAAACAUUAACCAUCGCGGUAGCAUCCUCAAUAAUUUGAUCGAUUCAUUCUCCAGCUAUCCUAUUGUAUCAAAGCUAGGUGGCUCCAGUCAUCACACAUCAUUUUUUUUCCUUUUCUGUUAGGUUUCACAGAUCAAGACACUUGGUUCUUGACAUGAAAUACAAGAAUUGGAGGUGACCUUCCCCAUAGAGAGAUACUUCAACCACAAAUGAACCUUCCUUUUGUGCUGUUCGCAGCAUGCAGUCAGUCCAGUGCCACAAAACACUUCUCCUUUUCUCCACGGCAACUAGAGAGGAUUAAAAAGAACACUCCAGCGGGUGUACGAACCACAAUCACCAAUGGACUUGCAAAACAUAAUCAAUAACAUCUCUUCCCUGCUACCUAAAAAAAUGGACAGCUUCCUCAACUAUGCUGUCAGCCAGGAAGCUUGUAGUUCGAUUCAAGCUUCACUCACAUCUGUAGGAUAGCUCCCAAGAACUCUUAGGAAAGUGGCGAAUUCCUGAGGAACAAAAUGAACCGAGUCACCAACUCACCACUUGCUUACCACAGUGCCAUAAAUAAAAACUGAUAAAGCAAUACCUUCAAGUUUCCAAGUGCAUUUUGAGCAUUUGGAUCAGCCAUCGAAGCCUCAAUAUCAACAUAGAAGAGGUAGUCAAAGUGCCUGGCUCAUCAGUGUGAAAAAAGGGUGAUAUGAGGGGAGGGGAUAUCUAGACAAGCAGUUUACAGAAAAAUCUCAGAUUCUGUAUUCUCAAAGAAACUUUAGUGAGUAGAUUAGUUCCUACUUCAGCGGUGCAGAGCAAUUGUCAUCAGCUACACGUAGAGGCCUUUUCUUGUGUGGACGGCUUUCCAUCUGCAGAACAUAACGUUGCAGCACUGAUAAAUUCUCUCUUUCGAAAAUGGAAAACCAACCAUCAGAGUGUUUAGGAAUGAAAAUUUCAAAGAUACCUUUGUGAGAUUGAUUUUCCGCAAAGCAAACACCGCAAGUGCUUUGAAGAGUUGCCCAGGUCCUUCUUCCAAAGAGAAGACAAUGCUAGUCUGGAGAUCACCAAUUUGUAUCAUUAAACUACCAAAGAGUGGAUCAUGAACACGUCAAAGAUUUCCUUCAUCUCGUACCUUGAAUGGCUUGUCUGUGCGAGGAAUAAUGGGUUCUCGAGCCAGCAUCAUAAAACGGGUGACAUUGUCUGUGUCAUCCUUUACAAGGAGUUAGGUCGCUCUUUCAAGAAAAUAAGGAAUGGUCUCAUAAAAAUUCAGUAGGAAACUUAGUAUACCUGGAUGUUUUCUGCUAGAAUAUCGAGUCCAUAAAGCUCAGCAGCUAAUGAACUAGCAACUGCACCAGUGUCUUGGAGCUUCUGUUCCGCAAUAAGCUAGAAAAGGCAUGUACGGAUAAUAAUUAACUAACAUCCAGAUAAUAGAUUCAGCGUAUCAGGUAAAAUGUACCUUUGCGGCGCCUGCCGUAUCAUCAACAGCUUCCCUAUGCUCAAUUCCUAACUUGGUGAGUGUUUGUUCGCAUUGUGCAAGAGCCUAAUUGUAAUAAUUGAUGCAUAGAGAGUGCAGCAUUAGUUUUUUUCUUUAAGAAAAAAGAUAAAAGGGGAAAAAAAGAGAAAGGUCUUAAUUACUUGGGGAUGGCUCAUAGCGCUUCGCAAGUUUUGAAUCUUGACUCCUGGAUUUGCCAGCAAGCAAUGGCGAACUGCAAGACGUACCUCACCAACGAUGUGCAACCUAUGUCGAAGUAGAAGGUCAUAGUUGCGAUGUAUGCUACCACCUAAGGAGUUCUCAAGAGGUAAUACUGCCCGAUCAGCAACGCAUCCUUCGACGGCCUGUGGUGUUAGAGAAGAUCGGGUUGGAUCGCAUCAUCAGCAGAACGCCAGAACCCUCAAGUAAGUAGAUGAGCAAGGGGUGUGUACCUGGAAGGCGGUCUCGAAGUACUCACAGGGCACGGUGUGACAGCUCGGGUAGGCCUUCCUGGCGGCCGCCUCGCUGUAGGCUCCGGGGCAACCCUAAACACUCGUAAUGAAUAAUUCCAAUGAUGCUAAAGAUAUCCUUAAUUGAUGGAGAAAGGGGUGAAGAGGUUGGCGACGGACCUGGUAUGCGACCUUCAACCCGUCCCCAGUCGGCUCCAUGAGAUCCGCGGUGGUGAGAGGCCCUGCUUGGUUCAGUCGCGCAUUUCAUCAUCAUGAAUUCAAUUGUUCAUAGAGAGGCGAGGUGAUCUUACGUGGCAGCGAGAUGGGGUCGCGGGAGGCCGGAACGGGCAGAUCGCCGGUGGCGGAGGCGGAGAUGGAGCGGCGGCUGGCGCGCAGGGGCAUAGAGAGGGUGCGGGGAGGCUGGCGGCGGGCUCCUCCUUCCCGUCCCGUGGGGGGGAUCGGGGGUGAGGACGCCGUGGCCACCAUCCUGUAUUCCUGUCCUGCUGGCUGCUGCUGCUCUGCCCUCUGCUCUCUUGGACUCCGGAAAUAGGCAAGUGGGGUUGGUUGGUGGCCUUCUUCCUCGGUUCCAUAAUCAUUUUUACCGGCUCGGCUCCUGUGUUCACGGAAGCCACCAUCGUGGUUCCUCCCGACUUGUACGUGACAGGAGCCGGAGCAUAAAGACGGCCUUAGUCAUAUCAGAAAGUGUUUUUGUUUUUCAGCUAUAUUAGCUGAAUGUUUAUGUUUAAACAAAUAAGUAUUUUUCUUCAUAUCCUGAGACGCUCUGCUUUUAUUUGAAUUUACUCCGAAUCCUGCGGCUGCUUUCUUUACCCUCCGCACCAAUCAAAGAUUAUUCAUCAGUCCAGGCAAACGUUUGUCAUCAUCAAUCAAAGAUAGAUGAGCAGAGGGCACCCGCUUAAUAAAUAGAUGGAUAGAUAAAAGGCUGGACCAAGCAAGGAAAGAACCAUGACAUUACACACUGCACCCUCAGCUGAAUAAAAUUCAGAAAUCACAUUACGCUAACCGUUCCACAGAAACACACAAAAGAUGGUCUGCCUCACAAGGCCGAACCAAUGUUUAUUACAGCCACCACACUCUUCUCUGGUUCGUAACAGUCUCGGGUGCCAAAUUGACAGAAUGGUAACCCCCUUUCCCUUGUCUGGCUGGAA
rnacentral:lncRNA from 1 species